AAGACGAUAAUUUCUCCGUUAUUUCCACCUCUAGGCCGUGCUUGUCAAAUCAAAAUCCUAGUUCAGCCACUGUAAAUUGUUCCUUGAUUUUAAAAUAUGAGGACGAAAUCUUUAUUAUCUUUUGUCAGUGUCCGCACAUUUUAAAAUAAAAGAUUUUAGGCUAGACAGCACACAUCAUAUCUAACUACAAUACGAUAUGUUUAGUGGGAAAAUUGCAUACCGUACGAUCUAUAAUUGGUGAGGAGAUCUUCAAACAUGCGGGCAAUGUCAAUGAAGGUGAAUCUUGCACCAGGAAGAUUGGCAUUAAGAUUGUUAAUCAUAGUCUUCACAUUUGCAUUAAAAGGCAUAACAAGUUGAUUCACUUCUUCUGAACAGCGAUCCAUUUGAUAUUGAGCCAAAAUUCUUGGAAUACAUCCCAUUCUUCCUAAUCCGGCCAACACAAAUUUCCUUGCUCCCAAAUUGUAAAGGGUCUGUAGAUUUUCAAUCAAUACUUAAUACAAGUUAUAUAAAUAUGUUUGCAAGCUAAAAAAAUAAAGUAACUAAAAUGCAUGCAUAUGGUAAAAAUUGUAAAUAUAGUGAAAUUGAAUCUUACUGUGAGUUGUCUUGAGUAUUCUGAAACCAAAAGAUCAGCAUAUUGCUGAGCAUUGUAUUGAUUUUUGGUAUUGUAAUUGGGCAUGAGAUAAUUGUUUAGGUAGUCAUUGCUGCCCAUUCCUACAAAAAAUAUACAUCUUGCAAUUGCAUUUGAUACAUCACUUGCUCCGAGAUUAUCAGUGACCUGAUCAAGUGUGUUCUGAAAAUUCCUUAUUUGUUGAUCAAACGGUAUGCGACCUACCUGACCAUGCAGCAAAAAUUUUCUACUAAUGAUCGGAUCUCGUGUUAGAUAUAAAAUCCUCUAAUUAAAAUUCAGAUCAAAAGGGAAUCCUGGUUCGUUUGAAUUAGAUAUAUGAGUCCUUACGAAGUUUCUUCCGGUGAUGUCGAGGAUUCCAGCAGCGGCAGAAGCAUAGUUGACUCCGUGAAGCACUUGUGCACCGGAAGCUUCAGAGUAUGCAGGAAUCAGAGGAAGUCCCAGUAGUUCAGCUGAAUGGAUGAAUUUACAAGAUUUGGUUAAUAUGACAUUAAAAAUAUUUGUGAAGAGUAAAUAAAAGCUAAUGGACAAAAAAGAAAAUUUUCUUUGAAAGGGGACACAAUUUAAAGAGGUUAUGCAUAUGGAAGCUUUUAGCCAUUAAUAGGACAUGCCUACCAGAUAUGGUGAAUUUAUCCCCAAACAGAUCGUACUUGCGGAUUAAUACAAGUUAGGUAUAAGUGGGUGUAGAUAUAAUAAAUGUAAAAAAUAAAAGAAAAAAUUCUGUUAUUUUUAUUGAUUUAAGAUAAUGACUGUGAUUGUUUAGAAAUAAAUAUUAUGGGACAGUGCGAGCCCUCCCAAAGAGGCAUAUAGAGGUAGGGGCAGAGCAAUAAAUAGCAAUAGUCCCCCCCCCCCCUAAAUAGAUAACUAAACAAGUACUUUUAUUUUGUUAAUUUUUUUUAAAAGGGAUAGAAGUAGGAAAUCAAUUAAUUAAUUGUAAUGAAUUUGGAUAUGUGUCAUUGAAGCCAUGACUAUGAAACUCACUUCACAGAUAUUUCUAACUAUGCUCAAGAGUGUGACACAAAUUUACAAAGAAGAAAAAUCUAAAAAUGACAUCUGUUUUAUGCUUCUUUUUUUUUUAGCUAGCAAAGAAGUAAUCAUAAUAAUUCGUCGGAUCAGCAAUUAAAAUACCUGCAUUGCAUGCAAUCAUGGUGUAUAUAAAUUUUCAUGUACCUUCAGGAUUUUGAAAAGGAAAAAAAAAUUAUAAAAAUAUAAAUCAUCUGCAUAGAUAAAGAGAGUUACCAAUUUCAUCGACCAUGGUGUUGUUGGGGAAAAAUUCAGGUUUUUAAAUUUUUUAUAAAACCUUUUUAAGAUCGCUCUCAUAUAAUAUAUAAGAAUUUGUAAUGUAGAAAUCGUACCUUGAAAAUCCGAUUUGGCUUUUUCCGAUGAAGUGAUUUAGGCUCCUAGAUCACGAUCCGCCACCACCACUCCUGUUAGAUCACGAUCCGUCACCACCACGCUUAUUAGAUCACGAACUGUCACCAAUGAUCUUCCAGGUUAUGACUCAGGUUUGAUCUGUACUUGAGGUAUGGGCGCCUUUAUCACUACCAAAGUAACUAGCACGAGAAAAUUUUUCUCUCAACAAUAGAGAGAAAAUUUUUCUCUCAACAAUAGAGAGAAAAAUCUUUUUCUCUGAUCUGUAUAAAGUGGCUGCUCUUUUUUCUUUUGAGAAAAUAAGCCUUUUAUAUCACCCUUUAGUGAAAACCCUAGGCUCCAAAUAAUCCAAAAACAAAACUCACGUUAUUUGCUUUUUCUAUAGGGGACCCACCUUGUAAAAUAACAUAAGCCCCCUUACACAAAAGCUAAUUAAAUGGAGUCUCCCACUAAAUGAUAUAUUUAGGCUUUUGACCCAAAUAGCUACUUAUCUUACUUAUUAGUCCAGUAGUGGUGCAGUCAAUUAAAUGAGUUAACCCGGGGAUCAUUUGGGAACAUACAAUAGUGGCUAUAACAAUUAGGCCUGUAAUUAAACUAGCCUAAUUAUUUAAUUCCAAAUCUACUCCACUAAAAGAUUGGAAUUGACCUCCAUAAUUGUAUGCUCGAAUAAUAAUUCGUCCCAAGCCACAUUGAUUUCUUUACUGCACAAUCAUUUGUACCACAUCAUUAAUUAAAUCGAUAUCUCAACUGUCCAAUCAAUUUAAUUACAUCUUGUUCCUUGAUACUUACUGGCUUUCUCUAAUGAUCAUUUUCAACAUACUAAAUAUGUUGACACACUCUGGCCAGAGAAUUCUAUGAUCAAGUGCUGAAACCCCAUCAAGAGAUGUGUUGUACAAAUUCUAUAUUGUUAAUACAUAACUCCAAUACUCAUAAUUGCUCCCACCAAGAUACCGGGUAAUCUUGACCACAAGUAUGUGUCGUGCCCAUUGGUAACUCAAAUGGAAUAACAAUUACAAUCAUGAAAUCAUAAUUAACUCAAGAUUAAGAUUACAGUAAAAUCAAUGCCUAUGAGAUUUAAUAAGUCUGACAGUUAUUACAAAGUUAAUUAAAUCUCAUAUGUGAUCCUGUUCAAUGUAGACGUACUACAUCAAUAAAUUCAUACAUGAUUAAGACAAAUCAUUCAAUGAAUUUAUUACAGUCUAUACCUAAAUAAAGUGCCCAACUUUAUUUAUCAACUGCGAACUAAAUUUAUUUAAUCAUAAGAUAACUUGUAUUUAUGUCUUCUGUGAAUCCACAUGGUGAUCACAUAAAUACAUAUAAUAUGAUUAAAUGGACUUUAAUACAAAUAUUAAUGCAAUUAAGAUAUUUGAAUAAAAUACCUCAUUAAUUUUAUUAAUCAGAAAAAAUAUUUAUUACAAUUAAAUAAACACAUAUAUUUUUAAAGAGCAUAUUUUCCCAACAGGUGUAGCCAUUAGAAAAGCGGCCAGUUGGGCCACCAUUGAAAUUGAUACCAUAGGGGUAAUAAUUUGCUUUAGCAAAAGAAGGAAGAUUGUUAUUGUUGCCAUUAUCGAUAAGUGAAUCUCCAAAAAUGAACAAGGCAGGCACCAUUUCUCUUCCUCCUCCUCCUUGUGUUGAUCCCACGGGAUCCCCAUCUUGCCCUAGUGCCACUUUAUCAUUCAUGAGCAGCAGCAGCAGCAGCAUCACAAGCAAGAAAGAAAAGAUAAUCCUGAAGAAAAUAUUAACCAUUAUUUGAUAUUUGAAAGAGAGAAAAUAAACGCUAUGGCUAAGCAGAGAUGAAUAAUGUUGAGGAUGAGGAUGAUGAAGAAGCUUUAGAGUUAGAGGUACAUGAAGGAGAGAUGUUGAAUUACACUAUGUAGAAGAUUUUAUUAGCACCAAGAUUUGAAGAGGAUAAUUAGUGCAACAAGAUUUCAGAACACGUGGCACCAUCAAAGAUAAGGUGUGCAACGUGAUAAUUGAUAUCAACAAAGUGAGUACAUAAUUUUAAAGGCGCUAAUCGAUGUGAUAGGACUUUCAACAGAAAAAUAUCCAGCACCUUACAAAAUAUAGUAGAUUAAGAAAGGGACAAAAAUGCGAAUAAUGUCGUGUUCCUUUCUCCAUUAGAAAGAUUUAUAAGAGUGAUGUAGUAUGCGACGUGGUGGAUAUGGAUGCAUGCCAUUUGUAAGCAUUAGUUUGAUUUAAAGUUGAAGUUAUGCAUGGCAAAUAUUAGCACAAACUCUUUCUUUCGAUUUAAAGUUGUAGUUAUUUAGUACCUCUUUAAUGCCAACAUCUCCACCCAAACUGCAUCCAGUUCAGCUACUAUUAUAUUGACUUACGUAAAUUUCCAGAAACAAAUUAAUGUAUGUUUAAUUUUCAAUAGAACAUAAUAAUGGGAAUUAGGAACAGAAACCAUUUUUCUCCACCCAAACUGCAUCCAGUUCAACUGCUGUUAUAUUGACUAAUGUAAAUUUCCACAAGCAAUUUAAUGUAUGCUUAGUUUUCAAUAGAUCUUAAUAUUGGGAAUUGUGGAAAGAAACCAUUAGUAGAAUAGUAGCCAAUAUGGAAAUUUCGCUGUAUGUUCCAAAAACAAAUUAAUGUAUGCUUAACUCCUUAUCCACUGCUUUUUUAUAAAUUAAUUUGUUUGUGGAAAUUUUUAUAGUGGCUACAUUAUUCUACUAAUGCCUUCUCUGGAGUUCUUCUAGCUACUUUGUGAACUUUACAUACUGGUCAAGUGCUUACUUAUUUACAUGGCUAAACUGCUGCAAUUGCUCUUUGCACCUAUAAAGUAUUUUAAGCAAUUCUUUAACACCUUUCCGCUUGUAUCAAUCAUUCCAAAUAGAAACGGAAUAAAUUAGCAUCAAGAAAAUGACAUUUCACUAUCAAGUCUAAGCAAUGUCACUCUCAUUUUGUUUCAACUGCUUCUCUUUCUUUGUCACUCUGCAGAGUGACUGAGUUUGACCAAAGCAAGCUAAACCAAAAUUCUCAAAAUUUAGAUUUCUCUAAUGGAAAAAUGGAUUUUAUUUAACGGUUUUAACACCCAAUUUUGCUGUUGAAAUUUCAUCAUAUGUAUUUGUUGUUUUGCUACAUGUGACAUUUGCAUACUUAAUUUAAUACUUUAUUUAUGGAUUGUUUAAAUCAUUUCAAUAGCUAGCUAGUUUAUUGUCGUGGACAAGUUUUAUUUCAAUAAUUUUGUCUUUUUCAGUAGAAAUCUAAAAACAAGUCUUGCUUCUAUUCUUCUCUAUUUUUAGUCGUGAUUCAGUCUCUUAAGUUGUUACUAGCUCCGCGAUUCUUGGAACGAAUAGCAAAAGGUACUUCUAUUUUUUUCUAUUUUUCUAUUUUUUGAAAAUUAUAUUAUUUGCUCUUUCCAUGAUUUAUGGUAUAUGGCUUAUAAUAUUACUGUUAUAAUUAGUCAUGAUGAAGAUAUAGGUUUUCUCUUGCUGUUAAGUGUUAUUUUUUAUUGUAUUUUAACUGCUGUUUUCUUGUUGAUUUUGUAACUUUAAUAGUUGUUCUUAUGGUUGGAAACAAUAUCAAACUCCAAUAUUAAUAAAACUGAACAAAUGAAAUGUGAUGCAUUUGUAGGAAAGUUAAUAGUCUAAAUAUGGAUAAAUCUUGGAUGUUGAUGGAUAGAAAGUCUCUAGGAUAUGAGAAUGAGUUUCUUGCAUGGUGACUUAAAGGAGGAGAUAUUCAUGGAGCAACCAGAAUGAUUCAAUGUUAAAGGCAACAAAGAAAGUGUAUGCAAGUUGAAGAAAAGUUUGUAUUGACUGAAAUAGGCACCAAGACUAUAUUACAAAAAGUUUGAUUUUUUUACAGAGAAUCAUGAUUUUAGCAAGAUUAUGUCUGACCAUUGUCUUUUUGUAAAGAAGCUUGGUGAUAAUAAUUUUAUCAUUCUUUUGCUUUAUGUGGAAGACAUGUUAAUUGUUGACCAUGAUGCUAGUAAGAUUGAUAAUUUAAAGAAAAAACUUAGCAAGUAAUUUAUAAUAAAAGACCAAGGAUCGACCAAUACAUUCUUGGCAUGACGAUUUCCUAUGACAGAAAAAUUGGCAAGUUAUGGUUAUCUCAAUAAGCAUUUAUUGAAAGUGCUCUUGAAAGGAUUAACAUGAGCAAGGCAAAAUAUGUUUGUUCUCCACUUGCGGGCCAUUUUAGGCUUAGCUCCAAGCAUUUUCCUACAAGCGAGAAAGAGAAGCAGCAGAUGAAAGGACUAUUUUAUGCUUCAACACUUUGCAGACUGAUUUACGCCUUGGCUUGUACCAAAUAUUGCCCAUUCAGUUGGUGUACUUAGUCAGUUUCUUUAUAGUACAGGCAAAGAACACUGAACAACCGUGAAAUGGAUCCUCAGAUAUCUCAGAGUCACUUCCAAGGCAUGUUUAUGUUUUAAUGGUGACAAGCUGUGUUAUAAGUGUACAACAUAUAUGGCAAGAGAUGUUGAUCCUAGAAAAUUCCUAUCAGGAUAUUUGCUUACCUUUGCAGGGGGUAGUCUAAGAGGAUUUCAAACUUCAUGUUGUUUUCUCCACCACAGAAGCAGAGUAUAUUGCAAUCAUUAAAACCCUUUGUGGUGAAGAAUUUCUUACAAGAGCUGGAUGUGAAACAAAAUAGCUAUGUCGUGCACUGUGAUAAUCAAAGUGCUCUCACUUGGCAAUGAAUUUAACAUACCAUUCGAAAUUCAAGCAUAUUAAUGUGAGGUAUUAAUGAAUACAAGACGUGCUUGAAAAGAAAUAGUUGCAGUCUGACUAUAUUCAUGAAGAAUGUGUCAGAUAUGAUGACAAAGUUGUUGCCCAAGGAGAAGCUGAAAGACUGUAAGAAGAGAACGGGCUUGGUAGUGCCCUCCAUAUGAUCUGAUGGGAAGAUUUGUUGAAUCCAUCUCAUUUGGGUGGCCCAAACCAAAGUUUCCAUUAGUUUGGGUGUUUAAGAAAUUAAAGGAAAUGUGUUAUGGCUAAUUGAAAAUUGCCAUCAAAUUUGGCUUUGAAAAUCACCUGGCUAUAAAAGAAAAAGUAGACUAGUGAAGCAGCAGCCUUAAAAACAUAGAAAAGAUGAGAGAGAAAAAGAAGAUAGUGGCCGACUCAAUUUGGGGGUAAGGAUUUUAAUCUUUGAAUGGACGAUCGGAAGGCAAACUUAAUCUCCCAAAUUUGGAAGGCAAAUUUCUGGCAUCGCCCUCUACAUUCUUACUGGUCUAUUUUUAUUUCAUUCUCUCAUUGGUUGUUAUCUGAGAUACCCACUUGUUAGAAUGAAAAAUAUUAGAUUAUUACUAUGAGCAAGAUUGUUGAGAUUCUUGAUAUUGUUUGCCUCUAGUAUUAUUUAGAGAAAAAUUUGUGUAGUAAUCCCAUUAUUAAUAUAAUGGAAGGUUAUAUUGGACUAUGGUCCUGUGGUUUUUUCUCAAUUUAAAUUUUCCACAUAAAAUAAUUUUUAUCUCUUAUGGUUGAUUUAUUGUUUUCAAUUGUGUUGGUUUAUUUUUUACUUGUUUAUUUUUUAUACACAUUCCGAUUUUAUCAUAUAAAGAGGGAAAAAUUUAGUGUUUGCUUAAUUUGCAGUUACUCAUGUAAGUUCCUUUCCCAGCAACACAUGGUUCUCCUUUUUCUUUUGCCUGCCACGACCUCAACUUUUGAGGUUGUAGAUUUGAGUACUACUCCUUGGACCUCUAAUUUCUUAUCUCAUUAUAUAGUUAAAUGUGGGUAGAUAUAUCUCCACAAAGUUUCAUUAUAUAGUCCACAUGAUAAGUGAUUUUUUUUUUAAAUAAAUAGAUAAACUUAUAUUAAUAACCUACUUAUUUAUUUCAAGGGAUAGCAUUAUAGUUUACUAAUCAUUUUCAUAAUCGAAGUGAUAAAGGUUAUUAAAUUCACUUCUUUGAUGGAGGAAGUGUAAAGUCUUCUAAGUUAUAAAAUAUUGUUAUAAAAAGUAGGGGCGUUCAGAAUCCAAUCCAAUCCGCUCAAUCCGUCUGAUCCGUAGAAAUCCGAUCCGUAAAAAUUCGAUCCGUGGAUUGGUGGAUUGGAUUGGAUUGGAUUGAAAAUUUGAUAAUCCGCAAUCGGUGGAUUGGAUAUGGAUCUACUUCUGUAAAUAUGUAAAAAUCCGCGAAUCCGUAAAAAAUAAAAAGUAUUUAUUUAAUUUAAAAAAACUUGUAAAUAUGGCAUUAUUACUUAAUGCCUGUUUGGUAUGACUUAUUUAAUAGAUGUAAGUGCUUAUUUAAUCUCAUAAGCUCUUAUCAUAAUUUUUGUUGUUUGGUUGUUUUUCUAAUAGAGCUUUUAAAACUUAAAUAAGUUAUUUUGUCUCUACUAGUAAAAGCUCAAAUUUUGGGCUUUUGGGAGUAGAAGUUGAAAAGUUUUUUAAAAUAUUAAAAUAUCUAAAAAUCCUCUACUUAUUUGUAAUUUUAUUUUAUUCUUUUCAUAACAUAAAAAUUUAUCUAUUAAAGUAAUUUUAUAAAAUUUUAAUAAAAGCUCUUAUUGACAACCAAACAACUAAAUUUGGUUUAGUAAAAACUCUAUUUAUAAAAGCUCUACUUGAAAAGCUGUACCAAACAGAGCUUUACUAGUAAAUAAAUUAGUUAAAAUAUAGUUACUGUAACACUAUAUUAUAUCUUAUCCGAUGAUAAUAUAAAAUAAUGAAAAAUUGAAUGAACAAAUAUAGCUUCCUAAAUAAUUAAUUUCCAUGUACUGAUCUAAACGAAUGAGAUUUUUUUUCGUUUUGGUGUAUUAUAUUUUGAAACUUUAAAUGUAUUUUCUAGUUUUAUUUAAAUAGUUAAUUUAUUUAAAUCUUAUUUAAUUUUAAAUUUGAACAGUGAUAAAAUUAUUUUUAUAUUAAAUUUUUUUAUUUAGUUAGUUUUUGGAUUGGACAGAAUUAAAAAUUUUCAGUCCGCAAACCAAUCCGCAAAAUGGUGGAUUGGAUAUGGAUUGGGUUAAAUCCGCAUCCGAUCCGCAGAUGUAUGGAUUGGAUUUGGAUUGAAUUUCACCAAUCCGUGGAUUGGAUUGGAUUGAAAAUUUAUAAUCCGUAAAAUCAUGGAUCGGAUAUGGAUUGAUGUCCAAUCCGUAAAAUCCGAUCCGCGAACACCCUUAAUAAAAAGGGUUUCUAGCCUAUCCAAAUCUAUGCUUGUUAAGAAUUUAUUUUCCAUCACAAGAGAAAGGCUAUAGAGUAGAAAAAGUAAGAAGAUACUUUUAUAAAAUUUAGUGAAUGUAGAGAACACUUGAAGCUUGAACAAGUAUGAUUGCCGGAAGAUUUAAUCUUAAUUAAUUUAAUUCUUUUACAAUAUCUUUUAUAAAUAUGUAGGAUAAAUAUAUUUUAAAAUAAAAUAAAACUUUUGAAUUGUACUAUAAUAUUACAAAAUUGACGUAUGAUUGUAUCAACAAUCUUUUUAUCCUGAUCAAUAUGGAAAAUAUUAGCAAGUUCUUUCAUUGUAACGUAUUAAUAUUCAGAAAAAAAAAAUUGAAAAAACGAAUCCAACGGCCUUAUUUUCUUUGUGUUUUAAUUUUUCUUUUCUUUUGAAUGCCGUUAUUGACCUCUAUUAUUUUUGUAUUUUGAUUUCACCAUGAUGGUUCAUCAACUCAUACAUCAGGUAAAACUUACAUCACAUUAGCUGUACGUUACACAUAAAAUUUUAAACCUUAGAAAAGAUAAUAAUUAUUAAAAAGGUCAAUUUGAAUUUGUCUUAUCAGCAUCCUCUGGAAUCUUGUCUUGACAGCAGCCUCCGGAAUCACAGUCGAAAAAGAAAUUAAAAAAAAAAAUUAACUUCGCUGAUUGACGGGCGCUUCAUUGGCAUAAAGAUUAUAUAUAUAUAUAUAUAUAUAUAUGAACCCGAAAAAAAAAAGACUUUAUAAACGUUUUCGGUCACACCUCUUUUUAAGUUGCCUUUAAGGCAAAUAAGGCCUUGUCUGGAUGUCAGGAUUAAGUAUCCAAUUGGAUUAAUUUUAAGAUUAAAUAUUUAUUUCAUAUUUAAUAAAUUUACUUGAAUUGAAUUAAAGGAAACUAAAUUUGAAUUUAAUUUUAAAAUUAUCGGAUUAGUAAUCCUAAUUUACACAUGAGUUCAAUCUAACUGCUCCAAAUAUUUAUUUUUUUUAAAUCAAACAGGUUAACGGUUUAUGCGGUUGCUUUAAUACAAAUAAGAUUUGACGGACAUGGAUACUUGAGGCAAUUGUAGACCGAAAUUGGUAUAAGAAGAUCCCAAACAUCAUGUAAUUGAAACUAAAUUAAAGUGAUUCCGACAUCGAUCUUCACUUCUUGAGGCAGCAUAUAUGAUGAAAAUUGGUACAAGAGAAUUGUAAAAUUAAUUCAACAAUUCCGAGCACGAAUAAGAAAAUAGUCUGUCACGUGCGGGCAACCGACGACUGGAUUGCUAUGCUAUUAGGACGAGUGAUUCGGUUGUUGAGUUGUUGUUGGGUGGUGUUGGUGCAGGAGUCAAAUUGGAAUUGAAGAGUCCAAACCAAAUUGGUUUUUGAUGAUUUAAUACCUGGAUACAGUAGCAAGUGCUUCUUCAUAUUCUAAACUUUAAAACACUAAACUUGCCAUUUAAUCAGUGGUUGUUGGUGUGCUUGGCAUUAAUUUGGUGCUUGUUGGCCAUUGUUUGGUCAUGAAUUUGGUGCCCGAUGGCCAUUGAUUCACCGUUGACCAGUGGCAUUAAUUCUCCAUGACGGCAGCAAGGCAAGUACCCAAGUUGUACGUAUAAAGUAACCGCACACCUGUUUCAUUUAAUAUAUAUUAUAUAUACAUGCAGCGGUUACAUUGAACAAUAAAGCAUCCAACGACUCUACUAAAUAGAGAUAAAAAAAUGUGGUAUGGUGUAAUUGUUGUAACAUAGGUGGAUCCUUAAAAAUAAUCAUGAAAAUUAAAAAAAAUAAUAAUUAAUUGAUUUUAUAUUAUUUUUUUAAUUAUUUGAUAAAAAUUAAUUAAAUAUUUGAAUUUUUAAUUUCUUUUUUAUUUGUUUAUUAUAUUAUGACUACCUAAUAACUUAUUUACAAUAUACUUAAUUUUCUAAUUAAUUGCUUUUAUUGUUAUAAAAUUUCAUGAAUAAUUGAUGUUCAUAUUCAAAUAUAAACUUAAAUGCUAUUUAAUAUCAUUUAAAUAUAAUUUAACAUAGUUUAAUUUGGUACUACACCAAACAUAAGACAAUAUAAUAUACACUACCUUAAUCCAAUAUAAUCUAAUCCAGUCUUAUUCUAAUAAUUAGUCCAAUUCAAUUCCACAUGGUAAAUGUAGCUUAAAGUCAUAAAGACUGAUAUUUGAAAGUUUCACCGAAAGCGAAGUAUUUGUUUGCUUUUCUUUAUUUAUUCAUCAAUAUUGCAAUCACUGAAGUUUUCUUUGAAACCUUGUGGUGAAGAAUUUUUUACAAAAGCUAGAUGUGAAACAAGAUAGCUAUGUUGUGUACUAUGAUAGUCAAAGUCCUUUCACUUGGAAAUGAAUUCAACAUAGCAUUCGAAAUCCAAGCAUAUUAAUGUUAGGUAUCAUUGCAUACAAGACAUACUUGAAAAGAAAUAAUUACAGCUUGAGAAGAUUCAUGAAGAGUAGGUCAGAUAUGAUGACAAAGUCAUUGCCCAAAGAAAAGUUGAAAGAAUGUAAGCCGAGAACGGGCUUGGUGGUGCCCUCCACAUAACCUGGUGGGGAAGAUUUGUUAGGUCCAUUUCAUUUGGGUGGCCCAACUCAAAGUUUCCAUUAUUUUGGGUGUUUAAAUAAUUAAAGAAAACAGGUUAUGACUAAUUGAAAAUUACCAUUAAAUUUGGCUUUCAAAAUAUACAAUGGCCGAUUAUUCCAAUUUGGAGGUAAGGAUCUUAAUCUUUGAUUGGAUGAUAGGAAGGCAAACUUAACUAUGUUUUCUCCCAAAUUUGGAGGGUAAGUUUCUGACAUCACCCUCUACAUUUUUACUGGUCUUGAUUUUUAUUUAAUUCUCUCAUUGCCUGUUAUUUGAGAUUACUCAUUUGUUAGAGAGACAAAUAUUACAUUAUUACUAUAAGCCAAGAUUGUUGAGAUUCUUGAUGUUGUUAGCCUCUAAUGUUAUCUAGAGAAGAAUCUGUGUUGUAACCCCAUCUAUAUCUAUAUCUAUAUCUAUAUAUAUAUAUAAAGCUGGGACUUGAGGAGGUGAUGUGGCAUCACCAUUUCUCAUCUUUGUAUAUUCUCUAUUAUCUAAUAAAUAGAGAAAUUUUCUUUUUAGAUUUGGCUUUUCAUCUUCUCAUAAUUAAUUUGAUUGUUAUUACACAAUAACAAUUAUGUAAAGAUUUUAAUGAGGCAUAUUCUUUGUAAUGAACAUCCAAGGGAUAGUGUUAUGAAUUUAUUAAAAUAAAUGUAAAUGUUCAUAACAUAUAUCUCUUCGUCCCCCCACUAUCUCCCAUUAGCAACCUUUAGCUUCCCUAUAACUCCCACUAUCUCACAAGGAAUUAUGAUCCAUAAUUUUUCAUUAAUUUCAUGGAGUGAUUAUGUAACUAUAAAAUGAGAGCUCAUUUUUUUGUUUUGUACACACACAAUUGGAAUGAAUAAAAUCACUCUAUAAUAUAUUCUCUCAUUUUAUUCUUUAUCUUGCGUUGCUUCUUUAUUUGUAUUGCUAGCUAAUAGUUUUUUUUUGUUUUUUAUAAGGCUGCCUCAUCUUAAAAGAAAGUCAAUUCAUAUUUUUUAUCAGUUUCAUCAAGUGUAAAGUAAAAAAAAAAUAAUACUAAUUUUUUUUCAAAGCUGCGUGAAACGCGGUUCUAUUUUCUAGUUAUUAAUAUAAUUGAAGGUUAUAUUAGACUAUAGUUCUAUGGUUUUUUUCCUGAUUUAGGUUUUCCAUCUAAAAAUAUGUCUCUUAUGGUUGAUUUAUUAUUUUAGACUGUAUUGGUUUAUUUUCUGCUUAUUUAUUUAUGGUACACAUUCCGAUUUUAUCACAUAAAGAGUAAAAAAACACAUGCUUAAUUUGUUUAAUUCCGAUUUUGCUUAAUUUGCAAUUGCUUGUAUGGGUUCCUUUCUAAAAAACACAUGCUUCUCCUUUUUCUUUUGCCUGCCAGAACCCCAACUUUGAGGUUGCAAAUCUAAAUACAACUUCUUGGACCUCUAAUUUCUUAUCUCAAUUAUAUAAUUAAAUGUGCGUAGAUAUAUCUCCACAAAUUUUUAUUAUAUAGUUCACAUGAUAAGUGAUUUUUAAAAUAAAUAAAUAGAUAAACUCAUAUUAAUAAUCUACUUGCUUAUUUCGAGGGAUAGCCUUAUAGUUUACUAAUCAUUUUCAUAAUAGAAGUGAUAAAGGUUAUAAAUUUCACUUCUUUGAUGGAAGGAAGUGGAAAGUCUUGUAAGUUAUAAAAUAUUAUUAUAAAAAGGUUCUCUAGUCUAUUAUAAAAAGGAUCUCUAAUCUAUCCAAAUCUAUACUUCCUAUGAACUUAUUUUCCAUCACAAGAGAAAGGUUAUAAAGUAGAAUAAGGAAGAAGAUACAUUUUUUAUAAAAUUUAGUCACUAUAGAGAACGCUUGAAUCUUGAACAACUAUGAUUGGAGGUAAGAUUUUAUCUUAAUUUAAUUAUUUUAUAAUUUCUUUUAUAAAUAUGGUAGGAUAAAUAUAUUUUAAAAUAAAAGAAAACUUUCGAAUUGUACUAUAAUAUAACAAAAUUGACGUAGGAUUGUAUCAACAAUAUUUUUAUGAUAUAUAUUAACAAGUUCUUUUAUUUUAACGUAUUAAUAUUCAGAAACAAUUAAAAAAAAGAAUCCAAUGGCUUUAUUUGCUUUCUGUUUUAAUUUUUUUAUUUUGAAUGCCAUUAUUGACUUCUAUUAUUUUUUUUUAUUUUGAAUGCCAUUAUUGACUUCUGUUAUUUUUUUUAAUUUUGAUUUCACCCGUGAUGGUUCAUCAACUCAUAUAUUAGAUAACACUUACAUUACAUUAGCUGUCCGUUACACCUAUAGAUUUUUAAAUCCUUGAAAAGAUAAUAAUUAUUAAAAUGGUCAAUAAAUAUCUCUUAACACCCCUUUUCGUAAUUAAUCCCAUUAAAAUAUUUUAAAAAAUUAUAAAAUUCUUUUAACACCUCCAUCAAUAAUAAAAAUACCCUUACGUAAAAUUUAUUGUGUAAAUUCAAUUCUCUAAUUUUUAUUAUUAAAUCUCAUUUCAGCAAUUGAGUUUCUUCUAUUUAAAAGAAAGAAAUAAUUUAUUCUCUCAAUUGUAGCCAUUGGUAGUAAAUUCUUCACCCAAAAAAUAGAAAAAAAAAACAAUAAAAGAUAGAAAUUUAUCUGAUAGCUAUUGAUGAAAGAGUUUGGUAAUGUGUACUUACUAGAUACACUCCACCCACCAAAACUGAUAAAGAUGGUGUGGAAUCUUCAAACCUAGUCGUUGAAUGGUCUAAUGACAAACUCAAUGCAUUAGGAUAAACGAAAAAGGACUUAAUGCUAUUGUUAAUGGAGUUGAUAUGUUUCAACAUCAACUAAUUUCUACGUGCAAGACAUAAAAAAUUGCUUGGGAUAUACUUUAAAAUACUCUUGAGGUGACAAUAUGGUAAAACGCUUUAUAAACAGUAACAGUGAAUAGUACUCAAAAUAGUAACUACAAAUCGUGUUUUUAGAAAAUUAAUUUAGUUUAAUUAAUUUUGUGUUUUUAAUAUAAUUAGGUUAAUUAUAUUGGAGAUUUUCUUAUGCUUCACUCUAUUAAGGAAUUUAAAGAAUUUAAGUCGUUAAUUAAUUAGUUAUGGGGUUCUAAUUGCCUACAUCUAUUUGUACUAAAUGUAAAUUCCUUUCGGCUUAUAUAUAUAUAUAUCUGAAAGUUUUAUUUUGUCCUCAAUGAAUUAUACAAUAAAUUUAGUUAAAUGAUUUGAGCUAUUGUUCAAAAAAUAAGGAUGAAAUAAAUUAUUGCAUCAAAAUCAAGGAUGAAAAGGGGUUUCCCAUUUAAUUAUACAUGGUUUUAUUUUGUUCUUCGCCUACACCAAGCAUUUUAUUUCAAGCGACAUUCAAGCUCAUAUCAAAUAUGCAUGUCGCAAUUGGACUACAUAACAAUUCGAGUUGUUUCAUCAAAAUAGUAAUUGAAGUUAUAGCAUUUUUUUACACUUGAUUAAAAUAGAAUAUAUAGAUUUUGGGCAUCCUUUUUUAAGGCUAACCGAAAAUGUACCUAAAAUGAUUUUGAAGAUAUUUCUUUUAAUAGUAACAUGCAUGGCAUUAGUUUACUUUUUAAGUUAUCAUGCACCCCACCUCAUCUUCCGAAUUAAAUGUGUCUAGGGUUAUUUUACUUCAACUGCAAGAGGUUAAAUUAACUAUAUGAUCCUUUUAUUUAAUACAAUGAUAUUGGCCUACUUUAUGUUUUUAUUUUUAUCAAUAAUGCUAGAUAUAUUAAUGAUGCAUUUAAAACGUAUUUUCUAAUUUUGUCGGUUCUGUCAAAACGACACUUCUUCACUGAUUCCACCAAGAGUGAUGUUGAUUUCAGGUAAUAAUUGGAUGUGUAGUAUUUUCAAUUGAAAUUACUUGAGUUUGUAAUAGUAAUAGGGAUUGACUAUAUCUUAUUGAAAUGAUUUUAGAUUGUUCUGCUACUUGAAUGUAUGUCACUUGUUUUAUGAAAUAUCUCCUUAAAAGAUUAUUUUUAUUUUCAGCAAACAUCUGACUGAGACCGCAGAUCACACCAUGGCUUAAGAAAAAAGAAAAAAACCAGCAACCAUUUUAAUUGAAGACAGUUUGAUACUAAUCUUUGAUGUAAGAUGUUACUUUAGGAUUCUAGAAAUUUUUAUUAUUUUUAAAUUUUUUAUUUUCAUUAGAGUUAAUUACAGUAUGUAUCUUAAUCUUUUAUUUCUAUUGCAACAUCAAUUUAGUUUCCCUUUUAAAGUUAACUUAGGGAAGUAGGUUUCCUUUAUUAUAAAUAGAGAGGUUUUAUUAUUGUAACUUCAAUUCUAUUAAUCAAUAAAAUCCCCCUUUUAUAAUUCCCUCUAGGUUAUCUAUAAAAAUCUAUCUUAUACAGUCAUUUAGAUUAGAAUAUCAUCUAAUCUCACUUCAUGCGUUAUUAAAAUCUCGUUGAGUCAUUUUGUUUAGAAUGAGAUCUAAUCACACUUUGAUUAGAGUGUAAGUUAAUCGCGUUGGCUUAGUCCAAUACUAGAAUGAUAUUUAUUAUUAUCUAUCCUAUAAAUUCUACUUCCACUACACCGCUCCAUCAUUUGUUAUCAGAGCAAAUUCGCUUGUCACCAUGGUACGACCAUGCGAAUAAAGGGGCAACUGUCCCGAAGACGAUGAUCAAAUUAUGCAAGCACAGACUGUAGAGGCUGUCAGACAGGCUGCCAGUGAAGCAGGCUUACAAGUGAUUGAGGAUGCUUAUGACUCGAGAUUGAAGGUGAUAGAGUUAGCAAUUGAGAGUCUUAAGCUUUCAUUGAAUGAAAAUAGAAGAGGUCAACAGCAAGGAGUUAAUCGUGAGGAAGAACAUUAAGGAGUGAAACAUGGUGCACAGCCAACGAUUACAACCACGUGAAGAUGCUUCAGGAGGUCAAUCACGAAAUAAAACCUCAAGGCAUUAAUUACAAAAUAGUGCCUCAUAAUUUAGACUCACAUGAAGAAUGCCAGUGCACAUGUAUGAGGAGUUAGGAAGCGAUUCAAAAGAAAAAGAAUCUAUGGACGAUGAUAGGAGUGUGGAAAAAGUCUAGAUUACAAGAUUAAUGUUAAUAUUGCAGAUUUUUAUGGUGGUAUGCAUGUCAAAGAAAUUGUAUACUGGAUUUCAAUGGUGAUAAUUCUUCGAGUAUGUAGAUAUUCCUCAAGAGAAGUGGAUUAAGCUUAUGGCAUUUAAGUUGAAGGGCGUAGCUUCUAUAUAGUAACAACACAUAUAAAACCAAAGAAGGGUUGUGGGAAAAUAAUUUAUAAAAUUGUGGCCUAGAAUAUAGAAGAUGGUGAAAGAGCAUUUUCUACCAGCAGAUUACUGGCAGCAGCUGUUAUCAAAUAUUAGGAUUAUAGGUAAGAAAAUUGCAGCAUGGAUGAGUAUACUAAAGAAUUUUAUUGUCUGCAUAUGAGAAAUAAUAAGGAAGAGCCAGAAUUUCUAGCAAUUACGAAUUAUAUUGGCAAAUUGAAAUAAAAGAUGCAAGAUGGAAUAGUAUAUAUAAUUUGGGACUUGGGUUCCCCAGUCACUAGGGCUAAAAGGUUGGAAAAAUAGAAGCAACAAGUUGUUUCUCGUACUAAGCAGCAACAACUCACUGGCCUGCGGAGUAGACCAAGUGGUAUUGGGGUAGAGAAAAAGUAGAAACCACAGGUUGGAAGUAGUCAAAUGCAACAAUUGCCAAAGCAACAGCUGAGGCAGCAGCCAACUAGACAGUAGUAGCCACAACACAGCAACAACCAACUAGGCAGCAACAGAAUAACCCAUAGGCAAGGCCUAUGCUGAAUAAGUGUCUGAAGUGUGGAGAGCCAAGCCAUCGAUCGAGUGACUAUCUUCCUGAAAAUUUAAAUUUAAUAGAAGCUGAAGUCAGCGAGACAGAGGUGAAUAAUGUCAAGGAUUGGGAUGAUGAAGAAGCUUUAGAGUUGGCGGUAGAUGAAGGAUAGAUGUUGAAUUGCAUUGUGUAGAAGAUUUUAUUAGCACCAAGAUUUGAAAAGGAUAAUCAGUGCACGCGGCACCAUCAACGAUAAGGUAUGGAACUUGAUAAUUGACAUCAGCAAGAAUAUAGUUUUAAUGGCACUAGUCGAUGUGAUAGGACUUUCAAUUGAAAAAUAUUCAGUACCUCACAAAAUAUAGUAGAUAACGAAAGGGACAAAACCGCGAGUAACAGAGGUUUGUCGUGUUCCUUUCUCCAUUAGAAAGAUUUAUAAGAGUUAUGUAGUAUGCAACGUGGUGGAUAUAGAUGCAUGCCAUUUGUAAGCAUUAGUUUGAUUUACAGUUGAAGUUAUGUAUGGCAAAUCUUAGCAUAAACUCUCUCUUUUGAUUUAAAGUUGUAGUUAUCCAGUACCUCUUUAAUGCCAACAUCUCCACCAAAACCAACGCCCACUACUUCUCCACCCAAACUACAUCCAGUUAAGUUGCUAUUGUAUUGACUUAUGUAAAUUUCAACAAACAAAUUAAUGUAUGCUUAAUUUUCAAUAGAACAUAACAAUGGGAAUUAUGAACAGAAACCAUUCUUCUCCGGCCAAAUUGCAUCCUGUUCAACUAUUGUUAUAUUGACUUAUGUAAAUUCCCACAAGCAAUUUAAUGUAUGCUUAGUUUUCAAUAGAACAUAAUAUUGGGAAUUGUGGAAAGAAACCAUUAGUAAAAUAGUAUCCAAUAUAGAAAUUUCGUUGUAUGUUCCACAAACAAAUUAAUGUAUGCUUAACUCUUUAUCCACUGCUUCUAUGUAAAUUAAUUUGUUUGUGGAAAUUUUUAGAAUGGCUACUAUUCUACUAAUGCCUUCUCUAGAGUUCUUCUCUCUGCUCUGUGAACUUUACAUAUGUUGAAAAAAUCACGCACGUGGCAUGCAAAUUCAAGAAAGCAUGCAAUUUUUCAAAGAGCUACCAAACAUUUGAAGAAAAAAUGAAAAGUUGUCAAAUUUGUCAAAUUUGCCAAAUGGACACCAUUGACAUAUUUGUAUGGGUUAGGUGGAAUAGUGUUUGGGUUAGGUGGAAUAGUACUUGGGUUAGGUGGAAUAGUACUAGUUUCAAGCCUAUAAAUAGAGAGCAUUUCUUCAUUCCAUUUCAUCCCAAAAUUGUUAAGCUUAUAUGUUUCUAAGCUUUUGAGAGAAGUGAGAGAAGUGUGUUUGGGGAAUUUAUCUUUCCUGCAGAGUGUGAGAGUACUGGGUAUAUUUGGGUUUCUGGGAAGUGAGAUUCGUUACUCAAAUAUUGUACUCUAUUAAUUGUUAAAUAAACAAUUAUUCUUUCUUGCCUCCGUGGAUGUAGGUUUAAUUACCGAACCACGUAAUUCUUGUGUCCUUUAUUUUUCUAUAAUUAUUUGGUGCGCUUGAUUUCAUAUUCCGCGCACAACAAGUGGUAUCAGAGCCGACGGUUCGUACUUGGGGGGAUACGGUACUGUUCACGUAUACGGUACUAUUCCCGUAUACGGUACUGUUCACAUACGGUACUAUUCACGAAUACGGUGGAGACGGCCAUUUGUACUUGGGAGACAGUCUAUUGUAAGUAAUGUGUAUUUUUGCAUGUCUAGAAAAGUUCUGUCAACAAAGGCGAUAAGAGUCUAAGGAUUCUGGUUUUUAAUUGGAACCGAGUUCCCGUCCAGUUUCUUGGGAACUUUCCUGAUGCAUUUAUUCACGCGAAAUUAACAUCAUAGAGACUGUUUUUCAAGUGGAAAUAGUUCGUUGAGAAAAUGGUAGAAGGUGAAACUUCCAGAAUUGGGGAGAGAUCUACCGAGACUAUUUCAGGAGACACUUCAGGUGGGAGGCGAGAUUUGUCAAAUCGCUAUUCAACACCUGUUAUAAGAGGCCAGAAGAUCGAUGUUGAAAAGUUUGAUGGGAAAAUCAACUUCGGCAUGUGGAGGCGCGAAGUUAUGGAUGCCCUUAUUCAAAUCGAUCUCAAUGUUGUUCUAAAAAAUAAAAGACACUUGUAUGAUGAAGAAAUUUGGGAUUGUAUGAAUGAAAAAGCUUGUGGUCAGAUCAGAUCUUGUUUGACCAAGGAGGUGAAAUACUUGGUGAAGGAUGAGGAGUGUGCGAUGACUUUGUGGCGUACAUUGGAGGAGAAGUACUUGUUAAAAAGUCCUGAAAAUCGCCUUCAUGCAAUGAGCCAAGUAUAUGGCUUUCAAAUGAAGCCUGGGGUGUCAAUGCACGAUCAUGUCUCAAGAUUUGAAAAGUUACUUGCUAAUUUGAAGAAUCUUGAUGAAGAUAUUAAGGAUGAAGUCAAGGCUAUGAUUCUGUUACACUCACUACCAGAGGAAUAUAGCCAUUUUGUGACUAUCUUGAUAUAUGGGAAAAGCGUGAUUAUCUUCAAAGAUGUUUACACAGCAUUGACUAACUUGGAGAUUCAGAAUAAUAAUAAAAAUUUUGAACGAGCAUCGUCUGAAGCUUUGGUGAGCAGAGAUUGGGCGAUGGAGAAACAAAAGAAGCGUGGUGGAAAGAAUUCUCGAUCCAAAUCGAGAAGCAGAAAUAUAGCUCGAGACGAGUGUGCCUUUUGUCAUGAAAAGGGUCAUUGGAGGAAAGAUUGUCCAAAGGCUCAAAAGAGAGAUGGGAAGAAACCAGCAGCAACAAACAUGGCAUGGAAAGAUGAAGACUCUGAUUAUUCACUAAGUAUUACUCUUGCAGCAUACGUGGCUAGUUCGAGCGAGUGGAUACUUGAUACUAGAGCAACCUAUCAUUUGUGUCCUAUUAAGGAAUGGUUUACGGAUUUUCGUAAUCUGGAAUCCGGUGCAGUUGUGAUGGGGAAUGAUCAACCUUGUCGCACCAUGGGGAUAGGAACAAUUCGACUCAAAAUGUUUGAUGGAAUGAUUAGAGAACUCAAAGAAGUUAGAUUUGUUCCAACUUUAAAGAAAAUUCUAAUUUCUGUGGGUGCUUUGGAAGCUAAAGGCUACAAGGUUACCAUUGAAGAUGGUAUAAUGAAGUUUACACAUGGGGCUAUGGUGAUUCUGCAAGGGGUUCGACGUCACAAUCUGUACUAUUUGAAGGGAGGUACAAUUGAUGAAGCAAAUGUUGUUGAGGCGCACAGUGACACCACAAAGUUAUGAUAUGUACGACUGGGACAUGCUGGAGAGAAGUCUUUGCAAACUCUAAUGAGACAUGGACUCUUAAAAGGUACCAAAACCUGUAAAUUAGAUUUCUGUGAGCAUUGUGUAGUAGGCAAGAAAACAAGGGUCAAGUUUGGUAUGGGUAAUCACGAUACUCGUGAGAUCCAUGAAUAUGUUCAUAGUGAUGUAUGGGGACCAACCAAGACUGCAUCAAUUGGUGGAAGCCAUUAUUUUGUUGCAUUUGUUGAUGAUUUCUCUAGACGUGUGUGGGUGUACACCAUGCGAGCAAAAGAUAAGGUUCUAGAGAUUUUCGUGAAAUGGAAGAAAUUGGUGGAGACUUAAACUGACAGAAAGAUCAAAGUAUUACGAUCUGAUAAUGAGGGUGAAUAUACUUCUGAUCAAUUCUUGCAAGUAUGCUAGAACGAGGGUAUUAAAAGACAUUUCACGGUGAAACAUACUCCACAACAGAACGGUGUGUCUGAGCGUAUGAAUCGUACUUUACUGGAGAAGGUACAGUGUAUGUUAUCUAAUGUUAGUUUAGAUAAAAAGUUUUAGGCUGAAGUUGUGAGCUACGCAAGUCACUUGGUAAACCGGUUGCCUUCUGCUGCAAUUGGAGGUAAAACUCCUAUGAAAAUGUGGUCUGGAAAGCAUGCACAAGACUAUGAUUCCCUUCAUAUAUUCGGGUGUCCAACUUAUUAUCAUGUCAAAUAUGGUAAACUGGAACCUCGUGCUAAAAAGGCUAUCUUUGUGAGAUUCAAAGGUGGAGUAAAGGGCUUCAAGCUUUGGGAUCUCGAAGAUAAAAAAUUUGUGAGUAGUAGAGAUGUCACAUCUGAUGAAGCUUCAAUGAUGAAAGCUUUAAGUUCUCAACAGGUGGAGAACAAGACCACAGAGGUAUUACAGCGGGUGGAGUUUGAUGCAACUCCAUAUGUACCAGUUACUUCUACAUCAAAUAAGGGUUCAACUAUGGAGGUGACACCUAGAGUUGAAGAAAAGGUUGUUUCUUCUGAUGUCCCACAAAAUGAAGAAACAAUUGAUGAUGUAGAUAAUAAUGAUUUUAUAGCAACAAUGAGGCCAAGAAGAGAGAUAAAGAAAUCCGGAUGGCUUACUAAAGAUAUGGUGGUAGCCUAUGCACUUUCAGUUAUUGAUGAUGACAUCCCCAACACUUUCGGUGAAGCAUUACGCAGCAGUGAAAGUGAUCAAUGGAAGUUAGCCAUGGAAGAAGAGAUGAAAUCUCUCCAUCAAAACCAAACUUGGGAAUUUUUGGAGUUACCAAAGGGGAAAAGGGCUAUUGGCAAUAAAUGGGUCUACACCAAGAAGCAAGGAUCUCCAAAUCAAUCAACUCCUCGAUACAAGGCAAGGCUCGUGGCAAAAGGUUUUGUUCAGAGGGAAGGUAUUGACUACAAUGAAGUUUUCUCUCCAGUUGUAAAACAUAUUUUCAUUCGUAUCCUACUUGCCUUAGUUGUAGAAUAUGAGUUAGAGUUGGCUCAAUUGGAUGUUAAGAUGGUGUUCUUACAUGGAGAUUUGGAGGAGGAAAUCUAUAUGAUUCAGCCUUGUGGUUUCAGAGUUGCUGGAAAGGAGAAUCAUGUGUGUAGGUUGAUUAAAUCUUUGUACGGACUGAAGCAAUCGCCAAGGCAGUGGUACAAAAGAUUUGAUCAAUUUAUACAAGGGCAUAAAUUCACCAGAAGUGAACACGAUUAUUGUGUUUACUUUAUAAGACUACAAGAUGGAGUUUCAUCUAUUUGUCACUCUAUGUCGACGAUAUGCUUAUAGCUUCGAAGAAUAGAGAUAAGAUCGAAAGAUUAAAGAAGCAGCUGGCUUCUGAGUUCGAGAUGAAAGACUUGGGUGAUGCACAGAGAAUACUUGGGAUGGAGAUUCGUAGAGACAAGAAGAAUGGGAGCGUAUGGUUGACUCAAAGUCUUAUUUGAAGAAAGUGCUAGAAAGAUUCGGUAUGGAUGACAAAACAAAACCGGUAUGUACACCUCUAGCUCCUCAUUUCAAAUUAAGCUCUUCUUUAUGUCCUAGAUAUCAAGAGGAGCGCGAUUACAUGGCUCGUGUUCCAUAUGCUAGUGUUGUAGGUAGUCUUAUGUAUGUUAUGGUAUGCACAAGGCCCGAUAUAUCUCAAGCAGUGAGCAUGGUUAGUAGAUACAUGCACAAUCCGGGUAAAAAUUAAUGGCUUGCGGUAAAGUGGAUUCUCCGAUAUCUGUAUGGGACAGUUGAUAUUGGGUUAUUAUUCAAGAAGGAUUGUGGUCAACAAUGUGUUGGGUAUUGUGAUUCUGAUUUCACUGGAGACCUUGACAAGCGAAGAUCAACAACGGGCUACGUAUUCACAUUGGGUGGAGGUCCGGUUAGCUGGAGGUCGAUUCUGCAAUCGAUAAUUGCUCUGUCCACUACGGAAGCAGAGUAUAUGGCAGCAACUGAAGCUGUAAAAGAAGCUAUCUGGUUGAAAGGCUUGUUAGGUGAUUUGUGAGUAAUCCAGGAGAACAUUGUGGUCUUCUGUGAUAAUCAAAGUGCGAUAUUCCUUGCGAAGAAUCAAACAUAUCAUGCUUGGACGAAGCACAUAGAUGUGAAAUAUCAUUAUGUGAGAGAGAUUAUCGAGAGCGGUGUUGUGUUAUUGAGAAAGAUCGAUACCAAAGAUAAUCCAUCAGAUAUGUUGACGAAGGUAGUUUUUGGAGUUAAGUUUCAAUAUUGCUUGAAACUAAUUCAAAUCCUUCGCUUGUGUUAAGAUAUGUCCUUUGGGAAUUUUGAACUACGGUUGGCUUGAUCCCAAAUUUUGGGUACGUAGGCAGUCACAGAGAUGCAGCCACUUUGGGGAUGAUGAUUCGUUGGUAGUCGGCUCAGAUUUGGACAAAUUUUCGCCGAGGUGGAGAAUUGUUGAAAAAAUCAUGCACGUGGCAUGCAAAUUCAAGAAAGCAUGCAAUUUUUCAAAGAGCUACCAAACAUUUGAAGAAAAAAUGAAAAGUUGGCAAAUUUGAAAAAUUUGCCAAAUGGACACCAUUGACAUAUUUGCAUGGGUUAGGUGGAAUAGUGCUUGGGUUAGGUGGAAUAGUACUAGCUUCAAGCCUAUAAAUAGAGAGCAUUUCUUCAUUCCAUUUCAUCCCAAAAUUGUUAAGCUUAUAAGUUUCUAAGCUUUUGAGAGAAGUGAGAGAAGUGUGUCUGGGGAAUUUAUUUUUCCUGCAGAGUGUGAGAGUACUGGGUAUAUUUGGGUUUCUGGGAAGUGAGAUUCGUUACUCAAAUAUUGUACUCUAUUAAUUGUUAAAUAAACAACUAUUCUUUCUUGCCUCCGUGGAUGUAGGUUUAAUUACCGAACCACGUAAUUCUUGUGUCCUUUAUUUUUCUAUAAUUAUUUGGUGCACUUGAUUCCGCAUUCCGCGCACAACAACAUACUGGUCAAGUGCUUACUUAUUUACAUUGCAAAAGUGCUGCAAUUUCUCUUUGCACCUAUAAAGCAUUUCAAGCAAUUUUUUAACAACUUUCCGCUUGUAUCAGUCAAUCAAAUAUAAACGGAAUAAAUUAGCAUUAAGAAAAUGAUAUUUCACUAUCAAGUCUAUGCAAUGUGACUCUCAUUUUUUUUCAACUGCUACUUUUUCGUUAUUGUGAAAAAUUUUAACAUACUCACAAGCGCAUGAAUCUAGAAAUAGAAUAAUGAUAAUGAGGUCGAACCCACAAGAAUUGUUAUAAAUUGAAAAGUCUAAUUUAAAUCUAAAAUUAAUAUUAAUUCUAACCUAGUUGAGCAAAUUGAGUUUUUAAGAAAAAUAAAACUAAUUAAACUAAGGAAACAAUUAAAGCAAAUGAGAAUUUAAUAAGAGAAAAAUUACCAAGACUUCAAAAUCCACCACGAUUCAACUAGUAAUUAUCUAAUUAUUAAUUAAUCCUCAAUUUUAGAGUGACAACUUGAAAUCAAUCUAUGUCAUCUCAUAAAUAUAACAAUUAAGCCCAAGUAAUUAAAUCUAAUGUAGGUUCUUUUUCUGUUUAGUAGUAUGAUAUCUAAGCAUCCCAUGUAAACAUAUUGAAUAACAAAGAGUCAAAGUUUCCUAAGCACUCUGUGUAAAAAUUUAGUGAAAGACACAGAAUCAAAGAUAAUCAUGUAUAGACUUCAUUGAUCCAAGCAUAGAUUUAGUCAAAUAUUAAUCAAUAAUGCAUGACAGAAUUGGUGAAAAGAAUUUACUAACAUCCAACUAAUCAUGUGAAACAAAAACCAUAAUCAUCAAAGAACAUAGAUAUGGAAUUAAUUAAAAGAUAAUUAUUUCAUUGGAUAGGGCUUCAUCUUUAACAUUAGUAUAAGAAAAUUAGCUACACAUACUUACACUGGGAGUAACAAAUAAAAUAAAACCAGUUAUGGAAAAAUUGAUUUGCUGCUACUCCUUUUCUUCUUCCUGUCUUGCGGCUUCUCCUCUGGUGGCUGCUCUUUCAAAAGCCAAAGUCGGCUUUUUAUAAUGCUUAGCCACCCACCGACCUAACAAAGCCCACUCACCAAGCCCUUUUUAAAUUGUUUCCUUAUUAAGGUUUGAAAGCUAGCCACACGUUAACUUAAAAGCAAAAGGCCAAUUAAUAAUUUCUUCUUUUAAUGCCCUGCACAUGCAUUCCAAAUUACCAAAUCUUUGCUGUCCAACUGCACACCCACCAUUCAUUAUUUGAAGAGAUUGAAUUCCAAUUUUGGUCUUUUUGACUUUCAUUAAUUCUUAGCUGCAUUUUUAUCUUUCAAUUUAAUCUUUAUUCCUUCCCAAUUUGAACUUCCUCAUUACCUUUUUUAUCUUUGAUCUUCAAUUAAUUUCCUAUUCAACAAAAUAAUUUAAUUAAUUAAAAAUAAUAAAUAAAAAUAACUAACAAUUAUAUAAUUAAGGGUAAAAUAUGUAUGUAGAAUAUGCCCAUCAAAUACCCCCAAACUUAGAUUUUGCUAGUUCUCGAGCAAAACUAAAACUAAAAACAAAAAAAAAAAGUUACGCAAAAUAAAUCCUAACUAAACCACUUUCGCAUGUAAUCGCGAUUGCAUUUAGCGUAUGCAACAAGCCCUUAAACCCCUAGGUGACCCUAGUGGACGAGUUAUAGUCUAGGGUUUCAACAAUGAUACCCACAAACAUCAUUUUCUUUUGUUUGAAAAAAAAAAACAUAAAAAGAACAACGGACUUUAAAUAAAACGUAAAACUAGCCUCAAAGAUUGAAUAAGUUAUAUAGCUCAAAGAAAAUUUCAAAUAUUGGCAAGCUUCUAACUUUAAUUUAAUAGUCAAUCACAUCUCUCUUUCGAUUCUUGUAGUGUGUGUGUGAAAUCAAUUCAAUCAAAUAUGUUCUCAAAAUCUUCAAUAUCAACAGCCUUCAUCUCGAAUAAAGAAAAGAGUAGGUCAAACUAAUCUUAUCAUCUUGAUCUCCAAUUUGUUUUUCCACAGGCUUUUAUGUGCAUUUUCUUUUGAUUUUUUUUUGUUUUUUUAUCACAUGCACUUGAUUUUUUUUUUCUUUUUUUUUGAACCAUAGACAGGAGCUUUCACUCUACCCCUUAAGUUAGCCUUCUUCUCAUGGUAGAUUAUCCUCUACAUACUGGUGGUAUAUAGGCCCAAAUUACUCAAUGAUAGCUUCACUCUUAAGGGUUAUAGGUAGCUAUUUCUGACUUAGGCGUCUGUGUAUACUAUUUUGUACUAUGGAGAUAAGAAUCGAGACAAAUAGUCAUUUACUCUCUCUAAAAUUAUCAACUUAGGCUGCGUCAAUAUCAAAUUUCAAGUUAAAAUUAUGAAAGAAUUGAUGUUAGUGCUUAUGGUGUUUAUAGAAUCUCAAUCAAGAGGAAUUAACACAAAAACCAAGUAUAAACUAAGACAAUAUUCAACUUUUUCUAAGAAUCAUAUUCAUUGUCAAUCAAAUUCUUAUCAUUGGCUUUUCACAUAAAAACAAAAAGAAUUUUUUUUUUUAAUUUUUGAAUUUUUUUUGGUUUUUUUAAUAACAAACAAAACACACACUAUUCUCACCCCCAAACUUAUUCGGAACAUUGUCCUCAAUGAUUCAUAAAUAAAAGACAUGCAUGCAAAAAGAUUAAAAAACGUAAAUAAUAGAAGAAAAUGUUGGAGAGAACACACUUAAAAGAAAAUGACAACUAAAAAGAAAACAUUUGAAGAAAUAUAAAUAAUAAAAAAAGAAAAAUAAAUAAAAUCCUACUAAACUAAUUAAUUAAUGUAAACAACAAAUCAACCAAGAUCAAUAAGAAUUUGGUGAAAAUCAAAGUAAUUAUACAGAAAAUACCAGAAAAUAUAAUUGACUAAGCACUGGAGCAUUUUAUCUAUAAAAGGAUGAUGGUAAUGAAACUCCUCAGUAUCGCACUGCGUUGAUCUCUUCUGUUCCAAGCUUACCUGAGAGUUAUCUGAAGCAGUAUAAAAAUCUAAUAAUUAAAGCACUUUAGAUCUUACCACCUUUUUCGUGUCAGAAUGUGACUAUUCUUUAAGAAGUAGCUCCAACUUGAAUGGUUUAAUUUUCUCUUCAGGAGAAAGUGGCUCAAUCUUUUCUUUCCACUUCAUUAGAUUUAUGAUCAGAGUUGAAUCAAGUAAAGCAUUAACUUCUUCAGUACCACUGUCAACAUCAAAAGAUAAAUUAGAGUUAGCUGUGCAUGGUGUUAAUGGAUUGUCACAGUGGUUAAAAAUAAAUUAGUCAUCAAUUGAUGCUUCUAUCAUAUCUACUUCAACGACUUCAUCAUCGUCUUAUGCCUGCUUGGGAACAUUAAAAAUAUUUAAUUCCAUGGUUAUGUUACCAAAAGACAAUUGCAUGUUUCCGGUCCUGCAACUAAUAUGAGCAUUAAUUGUAGCUAAGAAAUGAUGACCUAGAAUAACUAGGGUGUGUUUCUUAGGAUCAUGUACAUCCAGAGUAUUAAUAACAAUAAAAUCAAUAGGAUAAUAAAGUUUGUCAAUAUGUAUCAACACAUCCUCUAUAAUACCACGAGGCAUUUUUAUUGACCUAUCAGUAAGCUGCAAAAUAAUGGAAGUUGGCUUUAAUUCACCUAAUCCAAGCUGCCUGUAAACAAAAUGAGGCAAGAAAUUAACACUACUGCCUAAAUCCAAUAAUAUUUUAUCAAACAAUUGGUUCCCUAUAACACAUGAGAUAAUAGGAGAAUCUGGAUCCUUAAAUUUUGGUGGCAUUUUAUAUUGAAGUAAAUUGCUAGUUUGUUCAGUUAAAAAUGCAUUUUUGGUAACAUGUUAGUGCAUAAAUCCAUAAAAAACUUGCCAUAGGAAGGAACUUGCUUAAUACCAUCAAGUAAAUGGAUGUUUAUACUUACCUGCUUGAAGAUUUCCAUAAUCUCACAUGUUGAAGUCCCUUUCUUUACCUUUGCUAACCUUUAAGGAAAAUGAGCCUUAGGAAUGUAAGCUGGUGGGCCAGUUUAUUCUUGAUCAUUUGGCGAUGAGUCUUGUGAUGAAAAUGAAUCUGAAGAACCAGGUUCAGAUGUCUUUCUUGUUCGAACCUCUACCUUAUUGUCAAAUAACUUUCCUAUUCUCAAGGUCAUAAUAGAUUUUGCUUCUUCAUGCUGAUGGCUUGAACUCGAUCCAACUUCAUGCACUCCUUUAGGAUUUGGAACUAAUUGACUUGGGAAUUUUCCUUUUUCUCUCUCAGCCACAAUAGUUGCUAAUUGACCCAAUUGAUGUUCAAGAUUUAGAAUAGCUUGCGUGUUUGACUGAAAGGCUUGUUGGGUUGACUGAAUGAAUGUUUGAAGUGUACCCUAUAAAGAAGGUUUUCUUUGUUGGGGUGCAGCAAAUUGAGACAGGUUGUUGGGCAUGGGGAUAUACUUGGGUAGGAGGGAGGAGGGACAAAUUGUUGAUUGGGCAUGCUAAAUUGUUGUCCUCCUUGGUUUGACAAAGGUUGAUUUUGUUUCCAAGAAAAAUUAGGGUGAUUCCUCCAAUUAGAAUUAUGGUGAAUAUGAACUAUUGGAGGUUUUCUCAUAUGAUUGCAGGACAUGUACCUACUCAGAAUAGGCCUCUUGAUAGGCCGGUAAUGAUGGAAAAUUAUGCGCUGUAUGAGACAAGUUAGAAAAAAAGAGCACAAACCUCAUUUGCUACACUAGGAUGAUAAUUCACGGAUUGGUUCAUAGCUAAGGCAUCUACUUUCCUAGAAAGAGUAGCUAGAGUGGCUUUCACAUCAAAAUCAUCCUAAACUUCAUAAAGACCCUUUCUAAAAAGUUGAGAUGAUUUUUCUCUUUAAUUUGAAAAAUCUCACUAUUGAGAAUUCUCAAAAAGUGAAGUAAAGAAAUUCCAUGCAGCCCUUUCAUGUAGGUUCAAAAAUCUUACACCAUUCAUAAACUCUACCAUAUGACGAUUUGACAUGAUUAAACAAUUAUAAAAGAAUUGUAUAAGUCUCCAUUUCUCAAAACCAUAGUGGGGACACUUGAGGAGUAAAUAAUUGAAUCUUUCCCAACACUCGUACAAUUGUUCACCCCCUCUUUGAUAAAAAUCACUUAUCUCUCUCCUAAGGGCAUUUGUUUUAGACAUAGGGAAAAACUUGGUGAGGAACUUGUUACUCAAUUCAUCCUAUGUAGUAAUAGACCCAGCAAGAAGUGAAUUCAACCAAGCUUUCGCUUUGUCUUUUAAUGAGAAAGGGAACAUACGAAGCCUAAUUGACUCAUCAUUAAAAUUUUGAAAACGAAAUGUAGAGCAUAUGUCAAGAAAUUCCUUAAUGUACAAAUAUGGAUCUUCUCUCUCUAACCCAUGGAAAGAUGGUAAAAGUUGAAUGACACAGGGCUUAAAAUCAAAGUGUGUUGUUGUAGUUUGUGGCAACACAAUACAAGAUGGUUGGUUGGCUGCAAGUGGUGAAAUAUAUUCUCUAAGGGUUUUCUCUGCUUGCACUGGUGGUAGUAUUGGCAAUAUUCUAUUUAGGUCAUCCAUCACUUGAGAAGAACUAGCUUGAUUACUCUCAACCUUGGACUCCUUUUUGACCAAACGAUUUAUUGAAUCGCGUUCCCAAACACUCAUAAACUAACUAGACAAAGAAAAAUAAAACAAAAAUAAUAAAAAUAAAUGAAAUUUAAAAUAAAAGAAAUAAAACAACCAAACAAUGAAUUUAAAGACAAAUAAUAAUAAAAAAUUACAUUGUUUUUAUAUAUAAAAAAAAAGACAACAUAAAUUAUAACUAGUGGAAGAAUCAAAUCAACCUAGAUUAAACUGACUUUCUGGCACAAUCCCCGGCAACAGUGCCAAAAACAUGUUGUGAAAAAUUUUAAUAUACUCGCAAGCACACGAAUCUAGAAAUUGAAUAGUGGUAACAAGGUCAAACCCACAGGAAUUGUUAUAAAUUGAAAAGUCUAAUUUAAAUCUAAAAUUAAUAUUAAUUCUAACCUAGUUGAACAAAUUGAGUAUUAAACUUAGAAAACAAUUAAAGCAAAUAAGAAUUCAAUAAGAAAAAAAUUAUCAAGGUUUCAGAAUCCAUCACUAUUCAACUAGUAAUUAUCUAAUUAUUAAUUAAUCCCUAAUUUUAGAGUGACAGCUCAAAAUCAAUUUAUGUCAUCUCAUAGAUAUAACAAUUAAGCCCAAGUAAUUAAAUCUAAUGUAGGUUCUUUUUCUGCUUAAUAGUAUGAUAUCUAAGCAUCCCAUGUAAACAUAUUGAAUAAAAAAGAGUCAAAGUUUCCUAAGCACUCUAUGUAAAUAAUUUAAUGAAAGACACAAAAUCAAAGAUAAUCAUGUAUAGACUUCAUAGAUCCAAGAAUAGAUUUAGUCAAAUAUUAAUCUUAACAAUCAAUAACGCAUGACAGAAUUGGUGAAAAGAAUUUAAUAACAUUCAACUAAUCAUAUGAAACAAAAACCAUAAUCAUCAAAGAACAUAUAUAGGGAAUUGAUUAAAAGAUAAUUAUUUCAUUGAAUAAGGCUUCAUCCUUAAUCUCAGUAUAAGAAAAUUAGUUAGACAUACUUGAAUUGGGAGUAACGAAUAAAAUAAAACCAGCGAUGGGAAAUUUGAUCUGCUGCUGCUCUUUUUCUUCUCUUUCUUGCGGCUUCUCCUCUGGUGGCUGCUCUUUCAAAAGCCAAAUUCGGCUUUUUAUAAUGCUUAGCCACCCACCGAGUUAACAAAGCCCACUCACCAAACCCUUUUUAAAUUGUUUCCUUAUUAAGGUUUGAAAGCUAGCCACACGUUUAACUUAAAAGCAAAAGGCCAAUUAAUAAUUUCUUUUUUUUAAUACCCUGCACAUGCAUUCCAAAUUGCCAAAUCUUUGCUUUCCAACUGCAUGCCCACCGUUCAUUAUUUGAAGAGAUUGAAUUCCAAUUUUGGUCUUCUUGACUUCCGUUAAUUUUUUGCUGCAUUUUUGUCUUUCAAUUUAAUUUUUAUUCCUUCCCAAUUUGAACUUCCACAUGCACUUUUUAUCCUUAAUCUUCAAUUAAUUUCCUAUUCAAUAAAAUAAUUUAAUUAAUUAAAAAUAAAAAAAUAAAAAAAACUAAUAAUUAUAUAAUUAAUGGUACAAUAUGUAUAUAAAUUAUGCCCAUCAGUCACUCUACAGAGUGAUUGAGUUUGACUAAAGUAAGCUAAACCAAAAUUCUCAAAAUUUAGAUCUCUAAUGGAAAAAGGAUUUUAUUUAACGGUUUCAACACCUAAUUUCGCUGUUGAAAUUUCAUAAUACUGUAUAUGUUGUUUUACUACAUGUGACAUUUGCAUAUUAAUUUAAUACUUUAUUUAUGGAUUGUUUAAAUCAUUACAAUAGCUAGCUAGUUUAUUGUCGUGGACAAGUUUUAUUUAAUUCAUUUUGUCUUUUUUAGUAGAAAUCAAAAAACGAGUCUUGCUUCUAUUCUUCUCUAUUUUUAGUCGCGACUUAGUCUCUUAAGUUGUUACUAGUUCCGUGAUUCUUGAAGCAAUAACAAAAGGUACUUUUGUUUUGUUUUUUUUUUUUUUUUUCUAUUUCUCUAUUUUUUCAAAAUUAUAUUAUUUGCUCUUUUCAUGAUUUAUGGUAUAUGGCUUGUAAUAUUACUGCUAUAAUUAGUCAUGAUGAAGAUAUAGGUUUUCUCUUGCUGUUAAGUGUUAUUUUUUUAUUAUAUUUUAACUGUUUUUUUUGUUGAUUUUGUAAUUUUAAUAUUGUUCUUAUGGUUGGAAACAAUAUCAAACUCCAAUAUUAAUAAAAUGAAUGAAUGAAAUGUGAUGCAUUUGCAGGAAAUUUAAUAGUCUAAAUAUGGAUAAAUCUUGGAUGUUGAUGGAUAGAAAGUCUCUAGGAUAUGAGAAUGAGGUAAUCGAGUUUCUUUCUUCGCGACUUAAAGGAGGAAAUAUAAAUGGAGCAACCUGAAGGAUUCAAUGUCAAAGGCAACAAAGAAAUUGUACACAAGUUGAAGAAAAGUUUGUAUGGACUGAAAUAGCACCAAGACUAUGGUACAAAAUGUUUGAUUCUUUUAUAAAGAAUCACAGUUUUAGCAAGAUUAUGUCUGACUAUUGUCUUUUUGUAAAGAAGAUUGGUGAUAAUAAUUUUAUCAUUCUUUUGCUUUAUAUAGAUGAUAUGUUGAUUGUUGACCACAAUGCUAGUAAGAUUGAUAAUCUAAAGAAAAAAUUUAGCAAGUUAUUUAAAUAAAAUACCAAGGACCGGCAAAUAAAUUCUUGGCAUGAUGAUUUCCCACGACAUAAAAAUUAGCAAGUUAUGGUUAUCUCAAGAAGCAUAAAUUGAAAGUGUUCUUGAAAAAAUUAAAAUAAACAAGGAAAAAUAUAUUUGUUCUCAACUUACGGGUCAUUUUAAGCUUAGUUCCGAGCAUUGUCCUACAAGUGAGAAAGAGAGGUAAGAGAUGAAAGGAGUUUUUUAUGCUUCAGCACUUGGCAGGCUAAUGUACGCCAUGGCUUGUAUCAAAUAUUGCUCAUGCAAUGGGUGUACUCAGCUAGUCUCUUUAUAAUUUGGGCAAAGACACUAGACAGCAAUAAAGUGGAUUCCCAGAUACCUCAAAGUCAUUUCCAAGGCAUGUUUAGAUUUUAAUGGUGUCAACUUGUGCUACAAGUGUAUUGCAGAUAGGGCAAGAGAUGUUGAUUCUAGAAAAUUCUCAUCAAGAUAUUUGCUUACCUUUACAGGGGAGUAUACUCAGAGGAUUUCAAAUUUCGUAUUGUUUUCUCCACCAAAAUAUAUAUAUAUAUUGCAAUCACUGAAGGUUUCUUUAAAACCUUGGUGAAGAAUUUCUUACAAGAGCAAGAUGUUAAAUAAGAUAGCUAUGGCAUGUAUUGUGAUAAUCACAGUGCUUUCGCUUGGAAACGAAUUCAACACACCAUUCGAAAUCCAAGCAUAUUGAUGUGAGUAUUAUUGGAUACAAGACCUGCUUGAAAAGAAAUAGUUGUAGCCUGAGAAGAUUCAUGAAGAAUAGGUCGGAUAUGAUGAUAAAGUCGUUGUCUAAGGAGAAGUUGAAAGAAUGUAAGGAGAGAAUAGGCUUGGUUGUGUCCCCCACAUAAUUUGGUGGGGAAGAUUUGUUAGAUCCAUUUCAUUAGGGUGGCCCAACUCAAAGUUCCCAUUAGUUUGGAUGUUUAAAUAAUUGAAGAAAAAAGGUUAUGACUAAUUGAAAAUUACUAUUAAAUUUGGCUUUCAAAAUCACGUGGAUAUAAAAGAAAAAGUAAAUAAGUGAAGCGGCAGCCUUAAAAAUGUAGAAAAGAUGAGAGAGAAAAAGAAUAUAGUGGCCGAUUAAUCCAAUUUGGAGGUAAGGGUUUUAAUUUUUGAUUGGAUGAUCGGAAGGUAAACUUAACUCUGUUUUCUCCCAAAUCUAGAGGAUAAGUUUCUAGUAUCGCCCUCUACAUUCUUACUAGUCUUGAUUUUUAUUUUAUCUCUCAUUGGCUAUUACCUGAGAUUACCCAUUUGUUAGAGAGAAAAAAAUUAGAUUAUUACCAUAAGCCAAUAUUGUUGAGAUUCUUCAUGUUAUUAACCUCUACUGCUAUCUGAAGAAGAAUUUGUCUUGUAAUCCCAUUAUUAAUAUAACGGAAGGUUAUAUUGGACUAAGGUUCUGUGGUUUUUUUUUUUUUCUUCAUUUAGGUUUUUCACCUAAAAAAUCUAUAUCUCUUAUGGUUGAUUUAUUAUUUUAGAUUGUAUUUGUUUAUCUUCUGCCUAUUUAUUUAUGGUACACAUUCCGAUUUUAUCACACAAAAAGGGAAAAAGUUAGUUUUUGUUAAAUUUGCAAUUGUUUGUACAGGUUAUUUUCCCAAAAACACAUGCUUCUUCUUUUUCUUUUGCUUGCCACAACCUCAACUUUGAGGUUGCAGAUUUGAAUACUGCUCCUUGGACCUCUAAUUUCUUACCUCAAUUAUAUAGUUAAAUGUGGGUAGACAUAUCUCCCCAAAUUUUCAUUAUAUAGUCCACAUGAUAAGUGAUUUUAAAAACAAAAUAACUAGAUAAACUCAUAUUAAUAAUCUACUUAUUUCUUUCGAGUGAUAGCGUUAUAGUUUACUGAUCAUUUUCAUUAUAAAAUGAUAAAGUUUAUUAAUUUCACUUCUUUGAUGGAAGAAGUGUAGUCUUCUAGGUUAUAAAAAAACUAUUAUAACAAAGGUUUCUAGCCUAACCAAAUCUACGCUUGCUAAGGAUUUAUUUUGUAUCAAAAGAGAAAAGCUGUAAAGUAGAAAAAGUAAGAAAAUAAUUUUAUAAAAUUUAGUGAAUGUAGAGAACACUUGAAGCUUGAACAACUAUGAUUGGAGGAAGCUUCUAUCUUAAUUUAUUUAAUUAUUUUACAAUAUCUUUUAAAAAUAUGGUAGGAUAAAAUAUUUUUAAAUAAAAUAAAACUUUUGAAUUGUACUAUAAUAUAACAAAAUUGACGUAGGAUUGUAUCAACAAUCUUUUAUGAUAAAUAUUAACAAGUUCUUUCAUUGUAACGUAUUAAUAUUCAGAAAAAAAAAUUGAAAAGACGAAUCCAAUGGCCUUAUUUUCUCUGUGUUUUACUUUUUCUUUUCUUUUGGUUGCGGUUAUUGACCUCUGUUAUUUUUUUAUAUUUUGAUUUCACCGUGAUGGUUCAUCAACUCAUACAUCAGGUAAACUUUACAUUACGUUAGCUGUACGUUACCCCUAUAAAAUUUUAAACCUUAGAAAAGAUAAUAAUUAUUAAAAAGGUAAAUUUGAAUUUGACUUACCAGCAGCCUCUGGAGUCUUGCCUUGACAGCAGCCUCCGGAAUCACAAUCGAAAAAGAAAUUUUAAAAAAAAAUUAACACCUCUGAUUGGCGGGAAGAUUAUAUAUAUACAUAUAUAUGAACCCCAAAAAAAAAAAAAAUGGCUUUAUAAAUUUUUCGGUUACAGCUCUUUGUAAAUUGCCUUAAAGGCAACCAAGGCUAUAUUUGGAUGUCAGGAUUAAGUAUCGAAUUGGAUCAAUUUUAAGAUUGAAUAUUUAUUUCAUAUUUGAUAAAUUUACUUGAAUUGUAUUAAAGGAGACUAAAUUUAAAUUUAAUUUUAAAAUCAUCAUGUUAGUGAUCCUAAUUUACACAUGUGUUUAGUUGGUAUAAAAUUAAAAAAAAAAUAUUUAUAAAUAUUAUAUAAUUAAUUAAUUUUUAUUUAUGAUUUACUUAAGAUUUAUUAUUUAUUAUCUAUGAUCUAAUUAAAUUGGUAAGUUUUACUUCCAAUAACUCUUGAGAAUAAAUUUUCAUUACCGGUGUAUUUAAUAAUUUAUAAAUUAACCAUUUAAUAACUUAUUGCAUUAUUGAUUGUAUAAAAUGUAAUUAAAAUACCAUAAUUAAUUGAUUUUAUAUAAUUUUUUUAAAUAUUUGAUAAUAAUUAAUUAAAUUUUUAAAUUUUUAUUUCUUUUUUAUUUGUUUAUUAUAUUAUGACUACCUAAUAACUUAUUUACAAUAUGCUUAAUUUUCUUAUUAAUUGCUCUUUAAAUUUAUUUACUUAUUAUUAUAAAAUUUCAUGAAUAAUUGAUAUUCAUAUUCAAAUAUCAACUUAAAUGCUAUUUAAUAUUAUUUAAAUAUAAUUUAACAUAGUACAAUUGAGUACUACACCAAAUAUAAGACAAUAUAUUACAAACCAGCUUAAUCCAAUUUAAUCUAAUCCAGUCUUAUUAUAAUAAUUAGUCCAGUCUAAUUUUGCAUGGUAAAUGUAGCUUAAAGUCAUAAAGAAUGAUAAUUGAAAGUUUCAUCAAAAGUGAAGUAUUUGUUUGCUUUUCUUUAUUUAUUUAAUGCAAUUACUGAAGGUUUCUUUGAAUCUUGUGGUGAAGAAUUUCUUACAAAAGCUGGAUGUGAAAAAAGACAAUUAUGUCGUGUACUGUAAUAGUUAAAGUGCUUUCACUUGGCAAUGAAUUCAACAUACCAUUCGAAAUCCUAGUCUAUUGAUGUAAGAUAUCAUUGGGAACAAGAUGUGCAUGAAAAGAAAUAAUUGCAACCUGAGAAGAUUCAUGAAGAAUAGGUCGGAUAUGAUGGCAAAGUCAUUGCCUAAGGAAAAGUUGAAACUUGAAAGAAUGUAAGCAGAGAACGGGCUUGGCGGUGUCCCUCACAUAAUCUGGUGGGGAAGAUUUGUUAGAUCCAUUUCAUUUGGGUGGCCCAACUCAAAGUUUCCAUUAGUUUGGAUGUUUAAAUAAUUAAAGGAAAUAGGUUAUGACUAAUUGAAAAUUACCAUUAAAUUUGGCUUUCAAAAUCACGUGGCAAUAAAAGAAAAAGUAAAUAAGUGAAGUGGCAGCCUUAAAAAUGUACAAAAGAUGUGAGAGAAAAAGAAUACAGUGGCCGAUUACUCGAAUUUGGCGGUAAGGGUUUUAAUCUUUGAUUGGACGAUCGGAAGGUAAACUUAACUCCGUUUACUCCCAAAUCUGGAGAGUAAGUUUCUGGUAUCGCCCUCUACAUUCUUACUAGUCUCGAUUUUUAUUUUAUCUCUCAUUGGCUAUUAGCUGAGAUUACCCAUUUGUUAGAGAGAAAAAUAUUAGAUUAUUACUAUAAGCCAAGAUUGUUGAGAUUUUUAAUGUUGUUAACCUCUAAUCAGUGGGGAAGCUAGCACCGUAUUUUGGGGUGGGCUAUUAAAUUUAUUUUUAAUUUUUUAUAAGUAUUAAUAAAGACAAAUUCAUAAACUAUAAUUAAUUAUUAUUUUUUUUCAAAAAGCUAACCUGGGUUGUAGCCCGGGUUAGCCAACCCUUAGCUUCGCCAUUGCCUCUAAUGCUAUCUAAAGAAGAAUUUGUGUUGUAAUCUCAUUAUUAAUAUAACGGAAGGUUAAAAUGGACUACGGUUCAUGGUUUUUUUCAAUUGUUUGUACAGGUUCUUUUCCCAAAAACACAUGCUUCUCCAUUUUCUUUUGCCUGCCACAACCUCAAGUUUGAGGUUGCAAAUUUGAAUACUACUCCUUGGACCUCUAAUUUCUUAUCUCAAUUAUAUAGUUAAAUGUGGGUACAUAUAUCUCCAUAAAUUUUCAUUAUAUAGUCCACAUGAUAAGUGAUUUUUUUAAAAAUAAAUAACUAGAUAAACUCGUAUUAAUAACCUACUUGUUUAUUUCGAGUGAUAGUGUCAUAGUUUACUGAUCAUUUUCAUAAUGGAAGUGAUAAAAGGUAUUAAUUUCACUUCUUUGAUGGAAGAAGUGCAGUCUUCUAAGUUAUCAAAUACUAUUACAAAAAAGGUUUCUACCCUAACCAAAUCUAUACUUACUAAGGAUUUAUUUUUCAUAAAAAGAGAGAAGCUAUAAAGUAGAAAAAUCGGGAAGAUACUUUUAUAAAAUUUAAUGAAUGUAGAGCACACUUGAAACUUGAGCAACUAUGAUUGGAGAAAGCUUUUAUCUUAAUUAAUUUAAUUAUUUUACAAUAUCUUUUAUAAAUAUGGUUGGAUAAAUAUAUUUUAAAUAAAAUAAAACUUUUGAAUUGUACUAUAAUAUAACAAAAUUGACGUAGGAUUGUAUCAACAAUAGUUUUAUGAUAAAUAUUAACAAGUUCUUCAUUAUAAAGUAUUAAUAUUCAGGAAAAAAAUUGAAAAAACGAAUCCAAUGGCCUUAUUUUCUUUGUGUUUUACUUUUUCUUUUCUUUUGGUUGCGGUUAUUGACCUCUGUUAUUUUUUGAUAUUUUGAUUUCACCGUGAUGGUUCAUCAACUCAUACAUUAGGUAAAACUUACAUUACGUUAGCUGUACGUUACCAAUAUAAAAUUUUAAACCUUAGAAAAGAUAAUAAUUAUUAAAAAGGUAAAUUUGAUUUUUUCUUAUCAGCAGCCUCUGGAGUCUUGUCUUGACAGCAGCCUCCGGAAUCACAAUCGAAAAAGAAAUUAAAAAAAAAAAUUAACUUCUCUGAUUGGCAGGCGCUUCAUUGGCGGAAAGAUUAUAUCUAUACAUAUAUAUAAAGUUGGGACUACAAGAGGUGAUGUGGCAUCACCAUUUCUCAUAAUUUCAUAUUGUCUAUUAUUUAAUAAAUUAGUUGAAAUUAAAAAAUAAUUACAUUACAAAAUAUUAAAAUAGAAAAUUAUUAUUAGAUUAUAAAUGAUUACAUGUCUUUUCCUCUUUCUAUUUAAAUUCAACAAUAUGUAACCAUUAAUAAUAAUUAAUUAUAAGUCUUGAAACAUUCAUUUAUUUUAUUAUGCCAACAAUUAAAUUUUAGUGGCUUAAAAUACAUCAAUUAAUUAAUAUAGGAAGGAAGGUUCCUUCAUAUUCCCUCAACAAUGCCAUUAGAGCCUAAUUUUAAUGUCAUAAUCUCAUAUUUAAUUAUUCAAUCUUUUGUUUAGUGCCUUUUGGUUUCUUCAAACUCCAUAAACAUUAAAUAUUUAAGAUUUGUGGCAUUAUUAUUUCUCAUCUUUUUUUAUUCUCUACUAUCUAAUAUAUUGGUUGAGAUUAAAAAAUAAUUACAUUACAAAAUAUUAAAAAUCUAUAUCUAUCUAUCUAUCUAUAUCUAUAUAUAUAUAUAAAGGUGGGACUUGAGGAGGUGAUGUGGCAUCACCAUUUCUCUUCAUCUCAUAUUCUCUAUUAUCUAAUAAAUUGGUUGAAAUUAAAAAAAUAAUUACAUUACAAAAUAUUAAAAUAGAAAAUAAUUAUUCGAUUAUAAAUGAUUACAUGUCUUUUCCUCUUUCUAUUUAAAUUCAACAAUAUGUAACCAUUAAUAAUAAUUAAUUAUAAGUCUUCAAACAUUAAUUUAUUUUAUUAUGCCAACAAUUAAACUUUAGUGGCUUAAAAUACAUCAAUUAAUUAAUAUUAAUAUAUGAAGGAAGGUUCCUUCAUCUUCCCUCAACAAUGCUAUUAGAGCCUAAUUUUAAUGUCAUAAUCUCAUAUUUAAUUAUUCAAUCUUUUGUUUAGUGUAUUUUGACUUCUUCAAACUCCAUAAACAUUAAAUAUUUAAGAUUUGUUGCAUCAUUAUUUCUUAUCUGUUUAUAUUCUCUAUUAUCUAAUAUAUUGGUUGAGAUUAAAAACUAAUUACAUUACAAAAUAUUAAAAAUCUAUAUCUAUAUAUAUAUAUAUAUAUAUAUAGUUGAUAUAUAUAUAUAAAGUUGGGACUAGAGGAGGUGAUGUGGCAUCACUAUUUCUCAUCUUCUUGUAUUCUCUAUUAUCUAAUAAAUUGGUUGAUAUAAAAAAAAAUAAUUACAUUACAAAAUAUUAAAAAUAAAAAAUAAUUAUUAGAUUAUAAAAGAUUAUGUCUCUUCCUCUUUCUAUUUAAAUUCAAUAAUAUGUAACCAUUAAUAGUAAUUAAUUAUAAGUUUUCAAACAUUAAUUUAUUUUAUUAUGCCAACAAUUAAACUUUAGUGGCUUAAAUAUAUCAAUUAAUUAAUAUAGGAAGGAAUGUUCUUUCAUCUUCCCUCAAUAAUGCCAUUAGGGUCUAAUUUUAAUGCUAUAAUCUCAUAUUUAAUAUGUAACCUUUUGUUUAGUGCCUUUUGGUUUCUUCAAACUCUAUAAAUAUUAAGUAGUUAAGAUUUGUACCAUUAUUAUUUCUCAUCUUUUUAUAUUCUCUAUAAUCUAAUAUAUUGGUUGAGAUUAAAAAAUAAUUACAUUACAAAAUAUUAAAAAUAGAAAAUAAUUAGUAGAUUAUAAAAGAUUACAUGUCUCUUCUUCUUUCUAUUUAAAUUCAACAAUAUGUAACCAUUAAUAAUAAAUUAAUUAUAGUUUUGAAACAUUCAUUUAUUUUAUUAAGCCAACAACUAAACUUUAGUGGUUUAAAAUACAUCAACUAAUUAAUAUAGGAAGGAAGGUUCUUUCAUCUUCCAUCACCAAUACCACUAGGACCUAAUUUCAAUGUCAUAAUUUCAUAUUUAAUUAUGCAACCUUUUAUUUAGUGUCUUUUGGCUUCUUUAAACUAUAUAAAUAUUAAGUAUUUAAGAUUUGUUAUGUUUGGAUUUUUUUUUAAUUUAACCAACAUCCUCUUUAGAAAUGUUCUUGUGUUUUUAUUUUUUGACUUAUUUAAUUUUUUUGUAUUGUGUGCUUCAUAUAAUAUUCUUUUCUUCAUGAGUUAAACAAUGAUAAAGAUAGUUAGAUGAUAAGGGUUAGGCUUUGUAAAAUGUAGGAGUCUGUUAAUACCAAGAAGAAUUGAGAGUUGAUUAGUGUGAACAUAAUUUUUAUUGAUGAAAAGGUUGUUUACACUUAACUAUACACAUUAAUAUAUAUUUUUAAAGUUAACAAAAAAAUAAUUAACUUUCAUAAAUAACAUUAGUUUUAUAAGGCUGCAUCAUCUUUAAAAAAAAAUCAAUUCAUAUUUUUUAUCAGUUUUAUCAAGUGUAAAGUAAUAAAAAAAAUAAUACUAAAUUCUUUUUUUAAAGCCGCACGAAGUACGGUUCUAUUUCCUAGUAUAUACAUAUAUAUGAACCCGAAAAAAAAAAUGGCUUUAUAAAUGUUUUCGGUUACAACUCUUUGUAAGUUGCCUUUAAGGAAACGAAUGCUAUAUUUGGAUGACAGGAUUAAGUAUCGAAUUGGGUCAAUUUUAAGAUUAAAUAGUUAUUUCAUAUUUGUUAAAUUUACUUGAAUUGGAUUAAAGGAGACUAAAUUUGAAUUUAAUUUUAAAAUCAUAGGAUUAGUAAUUCUAAUUUACACAUGGGUUUAGUUGGUAUAAAAUUAAAGAAAAAAAUUAAUAAUAUUUAUUUAUUAAUUAAUUUUUAUUUGUGAUUUAUUUAAGAUUUUUUAUUUAUUGUCUACGAUCAAAUUAAAUUGGUAGUUUUACUUCUAAUAACUCUUGAGAAUAAAUUUUUAGUACUUGUGUAUUUAGUAAUUUAUAAAUUAACCAUUUAAUAACUUAUUGCAUUAUUGAUUGAUUAAAAUUUAAUAAUUACUAAUAUAAUAUUAAAAAUAAUUAUGAAAAUAAAAAUUCCUUAAUUAAUUGAUUUUAUAUAAUUUUUUUAAUAUUUGACAAAAAUUAAUUAAAUAUUUAAAUUUUUAUUUAUUUUCUCUUUGUUUAUUAUAUUACGACUACCUAAUAAAUUAUUUACAAUAUACUUAAUUUUCUUAUUAUUUGCUUUUUAAAUUUGUUUACUUAUUAUUAUAAAAUUUUGAGUUGUCACUCUAAAAUUGAGGAUUAAUUAACAAUUAGAUAAUUUUACUAAUUAAAUAGUGGUGGAUUUUGAAACCUUAAUAAUUUUUGUCUUAUUGAAUUCUCCUUUGUUUUAAUUUCUUUCUUAGUUUAAUUAGAUUAAUUUCUCUUAAAAGUCCAUUUGCUCAACUAGGUUAAGGUUAAUAUUAAUUUUAGAUUAAAAUUAGACUUUUCAAUUUAUAGCAAUCCAUGUGGGUUUGACCUCGUUACCACAAUUCAUGCGCUUGCAAGUAUAUUAAAAGUUUUCACAGCAUACUACACCAAACAUAAGACAUUAUAAUAUAAACCAGCUUAAUCCAAUUUAAUCUAAAAGUGCUUUUACUUGGUAAUGAUUUCAGCAUACCAUUCGAAACCCAAGUAUAUGAAUGUGAGUUAUCUUUGGGUAUAGACGUGUCUGAAAAGAAAUAGUUGCAGCCUGAGAAGAUUCAUGAAGAAUAGUUCAGAUAUCAUGACAAAGUCAUUGCCCAAGGAGAAGUUGAAAGAAUAUAAGCAGAGAACGGGCUUGGUGGUGUCCCCAACAUAAUCUGGUGGAGAAGAUUUGUUAGAUACAUUUCAUUUUUUGGCCCAACUCAAAGUUUCCAUUAGUUUGGGUGUUUAAAGAGUUAAAGGAAACACGUUAUGACUAAUUGAAAAUUACCAUUAAAUUUGGCUUUCAAAAUCACGUGGAUAUAAAAGAAAAAGUAAAUAAGUGAAGCGGCAGACUUAAAAAUGUAUAAAGAUGAGAGAGAAAAAUAAUACAAUACCCGAUUAUUCCAAUUUGGAGGUAAGGGUUUUAAUCUUUGAUUGGAUGAUCGUAUGGCAAACUUAAUUCCAUUUUCUUCCAAAUUUGGAGAGUAAGUUUCUGGUAUCACCCUCUACAAUCUUACUGUCUUGAUUUUAUUUUAUCUCUCAUUGGCUAUUAUUUGAGAUUACCCAUUUGUUAGAGAGAAAAAUAUUAGAUUAUUACUAUAAGCCAAGAUUGUUGAGAUUCUUGAUGUUGUUAGCCUCUAAUGCUAUCUGGAGAAGAAUUUGUGUUGUAAUCCCAUUAUUAAUAUAACGGAAGGUUAUAUUGGACUACAGUUCUAUGAUUUUUUGCUCAAUUUAAGUUUUCCAUCUAAAAAAUCUGUCUCUUAUGGUUGAUUUAUUAUUUUAGAUUGUAUUGGUUUAUUUUUCGGCUUGUUUGUUUGUUGUACACAUUCCAAUUAUACCAUACAAAGAGGAAAAAAAGUUAUUUUUUGCUUAAUUUGCAAUUGUUUGUAUGGGUUCCUUUCCCAAAAACACAUGCUUAUCCUUUUUCUUUUGCCUGUCACAACCUCAACUUUGACGUUGCAGAUUUGAAUACUACUCCUUGGACCUCUAAUUUCUUAUCUCAAUUAUAUAGUUAAAUGUGGGUACAUAUAUCUCCAUAAAUUUUCAUUAUAUAGUCCACAUGAUAAGUGAUUUUUAAAAAAUAAAUAACUAGAUAAACUCGUAUUAAUAACCUACUUAUUUAUUUCGAGUGAUAGUGUCAUAGUUUACUGAUCAUUUUCAUAAUGGAAGUGAUAAAAGGUAUUAAUUUCACUUCUUUGAUGGAAGAAGUGCAGUCUUCUAAGUUAUCAAAUACUAUUACAAAAAAGGUUUCUACCCUAACCAAAUCUAUACUUGCUAAGGAUUUAUUUUUCAUAAAAAGAGAGAAGCUAUAAAGUAGAAAAAGCGGGAAGAUACUUUUAUAAAAUUUAGUGAAUGUUUCACACUUGAAACUUGAGCAACUAUGAUUGGAGAAAGCUUUUAUCUUAAUUAAUUUAAUUAUUUUCCAAUAUCUUUUAUAAAUAUGGUAGGAUAAAUAUAUUUUUAAAUAAAAUAAAACUUUUGAAUUGUACUAUAAUAUAACAAAAUUGACGUAGGAUUGUAUCAACAAUAGUUUUAUGAUAAAUAUUAACAAGUUCUUCAUUAUAAAGUAUUAAUAUUCAGGAAAAAAAUUGAAAAAACGAAUCCAAUGGCCUUAUUUUCUUUGUGUUUUACUUUUUCUUUUCUUUUGGUUGCGGUUAUUGACCUCUGUUAUUUUUUUAUAUUUUGAUUUCACCGUGAUGGUUCAUCAACUCAUACAUCAGGUAAAACUUACAUUACAUUAGCUGUACGUUACGCAUAUAAAUUUUUAAAUCCUUAGAAAAGAUAAUAAUUAUUAAAAACGUAAAUUUGAAUUUGUCUUAUCAGCAGCCUCUGGAAUCUUGUCUUGACAGCAGCUUCCGGAAUCACAAUCGUUCAAAGAAUAACAUGAAUGAAAAGCCUCAUUCAUCUGGAAUCAAAGCUAUAAGAUUGAGUCUUUCAAAAGAAAAAAAAAAGCUAUAAGAUGCAGGGAUGGUGCCGGCGUCGAAAAAGAAAUUUAAAAAUUAACUUCUCUGAUUGGCGGGCUCUUCAUUGGCUGAAAGAUUAUAUAUAUAUAUAUGAACCUGAAAAAAAAUUUCUUAAAAAAAAGCUUUAUAAAUGUUUUCAGUUACAACUCUUUGUAAAUUGCCUUUAUGGCAACUAAGGCUAUGUUUGGAUGUCAGAAUUAAAUCUCGAAUUGGACUAAUUUUAAAAUUAAAUAUUUAUUUCAUAUUUGAUAAAUUUACUUGAAUUGGAUUAAAGGAGACUAAAUUUGAAUUUAAUUAUAAAAUCACAGAUUAGUAAUCUUAAUUCACACAUGGAUUGAGUUGGGAUAAGAUUAAAAAAAUAUUUUUGUUAAUAUUAAUUAAUUAAUUAAUUUUUACCUAUGAUUUACUUAAGAUUUUUUAUUUAUUACUAUUAUCUAAUUAAAUUGGCAGUUUUACUUCUAAUAACUCUUGAGAUUUAAUUUUCAUUGCUUAUAUAUUUAAUAAUUUAUAAAUUAACCAUUUAAUAACUUAUUGCAUUAUGAUUGUACAAAGUUUAAUAAUCACUAAUAAAUGGUAAAAAUAAUCAUGAAAAAUAAAAAUACCAUAAUUAAUUGAUUUUCUAUAAUUUUUUUAAAUAUUUGAUAAAAAUUAAUUAAAUAUUUAAAUUGUUUUAUUUCUUUUUCAUUUGUUUAUUAUAUUAUGACUACCUAAUAACUUAUUUAUAGUAUACUUAAUUUUCUUAUUAUUAUAAAAUUUCAUGAAUAAUUGAUAUUCAUAUUUAAAUAUCAAAUUAAAUGCUAGUUAAUAUUAUUUAAAUAUAAUUUAACAUACCACCUCAAGAUUAGAAAAACCAAGCUAAGCAGCAAGAUCCAAACCCUCUAACAGAGCCGUCAAUUCAGAAAAAGAAUAGACUAGUGCUCCAAAAAGGAGCCAAAGGCAGCUAAUACCACGCCUUUAAGAUCUCGCAAAACACCACCAGUAGCAGCCAUACCUAGGUUUCCCCUAGAACAACCAUCCAUGCUUAACUUCACCACCCCCAGCCGCAGUUUCAUCUAAGAAACCAAUCAAGGUGGUCUACGGGGAGGCAUGAUAAUCUGCAAUCCCUCCCCAAUAUGAGUAUCAAAAAUACCCCUCAACUGAGAUGACUUGAAACCAAACAUGUCACUGACUAGCGUAAUAUCCAGGAGCACUCUAUAAAUAACGGUAUCCACAUUAAAGGCAACAUAAUCGUACCUGAGAGUGUUUCGAGCCUUCCAAACAUGCCAUAGAAUGAAGCAUGGGAGAAUGACUCGAAUAUGUUUUCAAGAACGGCAAUACCACCGCCAGUGACUAAUCAAAGCAUGGGGAGACAAAAAAGAAAGAUACGGACGACCAAUCAUUGAGUAAAACUCCUUUUUGAGAUUAAACUAACUUUUCUAUUCUUCUCUUGUUUUUGAAGUUUUUUGUAUCCUAAUGCAUAUUUCUUUUAGUAUACAUUUCUUUUUUCUCGUGAAACAAGAAUAAUUAAGCAAACAAUUUUACUAGAUAAUUACAAGAAAACAACCUACGAACACAAUAAUAUUUUUAAACAAAAAAAAAACUGAAUACCAUAAUUAAUUAAUAAGAGAAUGGAAAGAUAGAACCUAGAAAUUUGAGAACUUUAACUUUGAUGUAUUGAACCUUUGAGUAGCAACUUUGAUGUAUUGAGCCUUUGAGUAGCAGUGAUCAAUGAAUAGUAAAACAAUUGUUUUUUUUUUUCCUUAAGUGAAAAGUAGGGUAGAGAAAGUAGUAUUUUCACCAAAGUAAUGAAGGUUUCGUGCUUUUUUUUAUGGGAAAAAGAUAUUAAUGGAUAAUAAUUUAAAAAAAUAUGUGGCCUUUAUAGAGUUUUAGAUGAAAUAUAUGGAGGAAAUAAAUGGGAUUAUAAUUGUUAAUUAUAAUGUUAAAAGGGGACUUUAUAAGGAUUUAAUAGUUUGUUUAUGGAAAAUAUAAUUAUAAAAUAAUAACAAACAUAAAUUAAUAAUAAUAACUAUAAGUUAGGAAUAAAAUUAAGGGCCUUCAUCUAUAGUGGGGCCUUAGACAACCGCCUGAAUUGCCUAAAGGAAGAGCCACUUAUGCUAUAAAUGCAUUGUUUUUGAGGAAAACAGAUAAGGAAAUUUGAGAAAAUAUGGCUAAUGAACAGAGAGACGAAAACUUUGCAUAUGCCUGCGAACUGGUGACGGGUUCAGUGCUCCACAUGACCAUGAAAGCAGUUAUUAAGCUGGGACUUUUCGAGAUCAUAGCCAAAGCUGGUCCUGGAGCAAAGCUCUCAGCUUCAGAGAUUGCUGCUCAGUUGCCCGCCACCAAGAACAAAGACGCACCCAUGAUGCUGGACCGGAUACUCAGGCUUCUGGCUAGCUAUGGUAUUGUUCAAUGCUCACUUGAUGAUGUCGAUGGUUCUCACAGACUAUACGGUUUGAAUGAUGUCUCCAAAUACUUUGUGUCUAAUCAAGAUGGUGUCUCAUUAGGCCCUGUAUUGGCCUUAAUUCAGGACAAGGCCUUUCUCGACAGCUGGUUUGUCCACUCUAUCAUUUUAAUCCUCUGAAUUUUUCUUUUUUUAAGUUAGGGUAAAAUACAUGGGUUUAUAAUACAAUUUCUCUUCCCACGCCUUCAGAUCCAAUCAUGCAUUUCUCCCAAGUAUUAAAUCAUAAUCGACUUCAUACUCAACUUAUUUCUAAAUUCAGGUCAUCGAAAAAAAAAAUGUGUUCAUAUAUGUGAGCGAUAAAUGUAGAAUGUACACUCUCAAAACUUAUUAAUCAUUAUUAAAUAUACUUCUAGUCAUAUCAAUUCAAGAAUGGGUAAAAUAUUGUUGGUGGUGUUUUAAUUACUUGCGGUUACAGAGGAUAAGAGGAAAAAUGUCUUCUUUCGGGGGUAUUUUUGUCUUUUAAUUAUAGAGGACGUGAGUGUAACAAAUAUGAAAAAAGACAAUGUAUUUUGUUCUAUUAAAAGCUUUAAUUAAGUAAUGUUGUUUGCAUUAAUUGAGUAAUUGCUUCAGUUCUGACAGAAAUCCUCGAAGACCAAAAAUUUCUUAACUUCAUCCGUAGAAUUUCGCCCAAUUAAAAGAUUCACUUGUAGUGGUACGAUCACAUGCCUGGAGAGAAUUAGAAAUAAAAUCUUUUAGGGAAAACAAAAUAAAAACAGCAGCGCCUAGCUAUAUGGAAAGGUACUACAAACUGCAUAUCUCCUAAUUUGUGACGUUGCUAAAAUUUAGUAACCCACCCGUAUGAUAAUAUUACCCUGAUUUCCAUUUUUUUGCUCGUUGUCAUAAAGAUGUAUGCGACAAUUUUGAGUUAAGAUAUAAAAUAAAUUUUUUUAUGGAAAUGAAUCCUCUACUCAUCUUAUCUUUAAGGGAUUUUAUGAAAUGUAUACAUCGUGAUAUAUUUAAUAUAGAUAUAUCCUGUUAUUAUUUUUGUUUUUAUCAACCACUAAUCAGUGUAUCUAAGAAAGUUAAGCCAAACGCAAAAUGAUGAGAAGAAUAAAAGAUCUGGAUCUGAACCUAAUUCUGGACUGAUUGAUUAACUGGUCGUGUAGGUCCCAACUGAAAGAAACUAUUAUUGAAGGAGGAGUUCCAUUUGACAGAGUCCACGGAACGCACGCUUUCGAGUACCUCGGAUUGGACCCCAGGUUCAAUGAAGUUUACAGCAUAGCGAUGUACAACCAUACCACUUUGGUCAUUCAGAAAAUCCUUGAGGCUUACAAGGGUUUCGAGCACAUAAAGCAAUUGGUUGAUGUUGGUGGUUCCCUUGGCAAUACCCUUAAAGCAAUUAUUUCCAAGUAUCCCCACAUUAAGGGCAUCAAUUUCGACUUGCCUCAUGUUAUACAGCAUGCCCCUGAGUAUCCUGGUAUGAACUAUCAAUUAUAUUUAUGAUAAUGUUACGGACGUAGUUAAGUGGCUUUUAGGUAGCUUUCUUUAAUUAACCAUCCCAAUAUAAAUCCUGGAGAAGGUAGAAAGUUAAUUAGAAAAUUGAUUCCAAUCUCUUUUUUUCUUUUUUUCUUUCUUUUUUUUUUGAAUGUCAUUGUUAUGAAGAAAUACACAUUAUCAUUUGGGAAAAAAAUGGUAAAAAGAUAAAAUGUUGCAAAAAGAAAAAGUGACAAAAAACAUUAAAACAGCCUCGAUUUACCAUAUUUGCAAUUUAGUUAAGAAAAUCAGGUUUGAUAUAUUGUCGUUUUUGUCAGAAUUUUAUCUAAAUUUUUGUCCCGAAUAUCAGUGCUCUUAUAAAUUCUCUGGCCACCAUACCGCCAGAUCCUAACAGAGGAAACUAAAUUGUAUGUAGUACAGGUGUUAAGCAUGUAGGGGGUGACAUGUUCCAAAGUGUUCCAAAUGGUGACGCCAUUUUGAUCAAGGUAAGAUUCAUUUGAAUUUAAUUUGCAGGUAUUAGGUGUUCGAUCCUUGAACAAAUUUAAUAAUAUUUCAAAUUUUGUAGUGGAUACUGCACGAUUGGAGUGAUGAACAUUGCUUGAAGUUAUUGAAGAAUUGCCACAAAAGUAUCCACGAAGGAGGAAAGCUAAUUGUUGUGGAGUCAGUACUUCCAGAACUGCCUGAGACUAGCACUCAUUCAAAAAUAAAUUUCCUAGGUGAUGUGCUGGUGAUGACUCAAUAUCCGGGAGGAAAGGAGCGAACAAAGCAUGAAUUCAUGACCUUGGCUACUGGAGCUGGAUUUAGUGGCGUCAGAUUUGAUUGCUUUUUUUUCAAUUUAUGGGUUAUGGAGUUCCACAAGUAGCGUGCGUGCAUGCCCAUGAAUUCUGAAGGAACUUUUUUAUCAUUAUCUUUCGACAUGUACCUGCGCACGGCCAAGAUAUACCUACUGUGCUUCUAUAUGUUAACUACCAAUAACUGUAUUUGCUCAAAUAAAAACUCAGAUGAAAAGAGAAUUAUAAUCUUAUAUAAAUAAAGCAUUAGACAUGCACAUGAAUAUCAAUUUAUUUUUUUGUUUAUGUUUUAUCUUGAUGGCAUCAAGAUUUACUUGCUAUAUUAAUAACAUAAUAUUAAUUAUUAAAUAUAUGCUACUGACCUGUUCAGCCUAUCGUGUGAGUCAAGGUAGGUUCAAAUUUUAAGGGUCCUCGUUCAAUGAGUCAGGUCCCAUGAGAUCGUUUUUGGGCUGCUCUAUGGGUAGAGUGGUGAUAUUUAAAUCCCUUAUUAUAUUUUACCAACUCCAUUAAUAAUUUUUAUAUAAAUACUUAUUUUAUCCUCAUGUGAAAUUAUUUAAAAGAAUAAAUAGUUUUUAAGUGUACCCGUAUAAAAUUUUUUAUUAAUAACUAAUUAAGCUAAUGUGAUUUCUUAAACUCUAAUUUUUUUUUUACUUUUUAAGCUAGUCCAUUCCAUUCAAAAUAAGUCAUUCUAUUCAAAAUAUUGAAUAACGUAAAAUUUUAUACUGCAAUCCCAUAGAGACUGACAGCGAGUGCUUUCAUUCUCAGAUAGAUAUCUGACAGCAUUUUCCAUCACGAUUCCAAAAUUUCAUUCGUUCUGUAAAUGCACUGCAACGACAAGUUACUAUCCAAGUAAUAUCACUUUACAAUUGCAAACACUUUCUAAAUGCAAUGCAUUCUGGUCCAUGAACAGAUAAACUUCAAUACAAGAUCCGGAUGCUUACAAAAGGAAAUCAAGAAUCCCCUUUUUUGUUCCAAAUCAAUUAUCAUAAUAAAAAAUCUCUAUCUUUAUCACGUCCAACUCCUUGUAUUGCUUCACUCAACUUUGGGUUGAGAGACUUAGCACGAUACUAAGGUUAUUCAGGACCGACUUGGCAUGGAUAACAUUAUUAUUAGAAAGGAGCUUGGACACACUGAUGAGAUUUUUUGUUAUAUGGAGAACACAUAGCAUGUCAGUAAAUUAAAAUGGAGAAUCAGAUUUUUUGUGAUAUUAAUGUGUUAAUGUGUCUGUAAUAUCACAUAUUUUUUAUGUAGGAUAUGGUGCUAGAAGGGGACAAUGGAAUGGAAAUUAGGGAGGUAAUCAAGGCAGAGGUGGCUUUGCUGGAUUUAAUGGUAAUGGUUUUUGUUAGCAUAUAUGUAUCCAUAAUAUUAAUUUUGAUGAUAACAAACAAAAUUAAGAAUGAUUUAGUUUUUAAAAGCUCAAAUUAUUUUUAUACAUUUUAAAUAAAUUAUUAUUUUCACAUUUUAAAGGUUUUAUAUUUAAUGGAAAAAUAAUUUUAUGAAAUUAUUUGUUUUUCAAGUUUAUGGUUUAAUUGAAAGAGUUUUGAAAACUUUGAAAUCAACAAGUAUUGCUUGAAAUUUUGGAGAAGGAUUUAUUUGAAAAGUAUUCAUAGCAUUUUGGGUUAUAUCAUAAUUUCAAAAAAAUUUGGGAAUAGUAAGCAUUAUUUAGAAAUUCUAAAAUUGGACUUAUUUGCUAAAUGUAUAACGUUUUGGGCCAUAGUACAGUUAUAUAAAGUUUUGGGGUCAAACUGUUAUUUUACAAAAUAAUUCACUGUAGCAGUUACUGUAGAAAACGACGAUUCGACAUCUUGAUAACGGCUCGCUGACAUUUGACAGAAUUGAAGAUUAGCCUCUGGACACUAACGGCGAUCCGACAUCUAGAUAACGGUUAACCGAUAUUGCACUGAAUUGAAAGAUUAGCCUCUGGACACUAACGGCGAUCCAACAUCUAUAAAACGACGAUCCAACAAUUUGAACAUUCAGCCCAACGGUCAUAUUGACUAGUCAAACGGCGAUCCGACAUCUAGUUAGCGACGAUCCGACAGUGAGCAGAAAGUCAAUAACGGCUAGUUUUCAGCUCCAACUAUAAAUAAGUUCAAUCCAAUUCAAACAAGAAGAAUUCUAACGAUCAUUAUUGAGUAAAAUAUUGAGAAUACAACUUUCAUUGAGCUUUAAAUCCUUGUAUUCAUCUAAUUCAUUCACACAUUGAGCUUUCAUUUGUGAUCAAACACAUUGUGUGAGAGAAAUUCAUUUGUAAUCUUUUUUGUAAAAUCAAGUUAAAAGAUUGUAAGUGUUGUGAUACACUUGGGUUAAGAGAUUGGGGAUAAUCUCUUAUUGUGAAGGUCCAUUAACACUGUGGAAGUCAAUUGUAAGCAUUUGAAGCCUUGGAGGCUUGCUUAGUGAAAUCCUCAAGCCCGGUGAGCUUGGAGGCGUGGACGUAGGCGGGGAUUGCCGAACCACGUAAAAAUCAUUGUGUUUGCUCUCUAUUCCCUUACUCCUUUAUUAUUGUGCUUUAUUGAAUUUAUUAUUUUUGAUUCCAUUAAGGCAUUAGAUUAAAUUGUUGUGUGAUUUGCUUAGCUUAAUUUUUAAAAUCCCAAUUCACCCCCUCCCCUCUUAGGUUGCAUAACUAGAAUUUCAGUUUUGCUGCUAGUUUUAAUGGUUCUGGAAGAGGAGGUGGCAGAGGUAUUAUAUGUCAGAUUUGUUUCAAGCCAAAUCAUUCAGCUAUUGAGUGCAGGGAUAGGUUCAAUAGAAACUUUAUGCCAAAUCCUCCAGUUCAAGGUUCCUUUCCACCUCAAAAUCAAGGUCCAAGAGCUGCAUACAUGGUGACAUCAGAAGGAGUUGCUGAUCAAGGCUGGUACUUAGACAAUGGAGCCACUCAUCAUCUCACAAAUGCUGUCCAAAAUUUGACUGAUGGUAAGUCUUAUUCUAGUUCUGAGAUGCUACUAGUUGGUGAUGCUAAAGGCCUCUCUAUUACUCAUAUUGGUUAUACAUGUUUUUAUACAUCACUUAGAGCUAUAUUGCAUCUUACUGACAUGCUAUGUGUGCCCCAUAUAACAAAAAAUCUCAUCAGUGUGUCCAAGCUCCUUUCUAAUAACAAUGUUAUAAUAGAAUUUUCCUCUUAUUGUUGUUUUGUAAAGGACAAGGUGAAGGGGACAUUACUAGCACAGGGAAUUGCUAAAGGGGGUCUCUACAAACUACUGUCUCAAGAUGAUUUCCUCUCAAAUUUUGAAGUACAAGUCUUUAAACCAAGUUCAAUGAUGUCUGUUGUUUCAAAUAAAAUUGUAAACUCUAUUACAGAGUCUGUCAAGUCAGUGUCUGUUGAUUCAGUUUCUUUCAAUAAUCCUCCUGCAAGUGUCAAUAUUCAAGCUGUAUCUCAAUGCAAUUGUUACAUAAUAGGCUUGGUCAUCCUAAUAAACAUGCUAUGCAAAUCAUUUUAUAGACUCAACCUUCACAUGUUGUCAAUACACAUUCUCUUAGUUUUUGUGAUGCCUGUCAAUAUGGGAAGCUACAUCAAUUUCAUUUUUCUGUAACCGAAAUAAAAACCAGAGCACUACUUGAAUUGAUACAUGAUGAUCUUUGGGGGCCAGCAUCAAUGCCAUCCAAAGAUGGAUAUAAAUAUUACAUAUCUUUUGUAGAUAACUUUACCAGAUAUUGUUGGAUAUUUCCUCUCACCUUAAAAUAAGAAGCAUUAGACACGUUUAAACUCCUUGUUGAAAAACAAUUCUCUUUAUCCAUUAAAACCAUACAAUUAGACAUGGAGGGUAAAUUUAGAGCAUUUGGAUCCUUUUUUCAACAACAAGGGAUACAUCUCAGAUUUAGUUGUCCCUAUACACUUCAUAAAAAUGGAGUUUUGGAAAAAAAACACAAACACAUUGUUGAAACUGGUCUUACCCUUCUUGCUCAAGUAAAUCUACCACUUACCUUUUGGUGGGAAGCUUUUCACACAACAUCUUAUUUGAUAAAUAGGAUACAUUCACCAAUCCUAAACAAUAAAACACCUUAUCAAAAGCUGCAUAAUCAAUUACCUGAUUAUUAGUUUCUCAAAGUCUUUGGCUACUCAUGCUUUCCACUGUUAAGACCUUACAACAACACAAGUUAGAUUUUCAUACACAAAAAUGUGUCUUUAUUCGCUACAGCCCUAUGCAUGAAGGUUAUAAGUGUCUAGACAAAUCAGGUAGAAUUUACAUUGCUAGACAUGUUAUGUUAAAUGAGUCUGAAUUUCCAUAUUCAGAGUUGUUUUCUGUUCACAACUCUACUUAUAUUCCAGUAAAAUGUGUCACCCCUGCAAGUCAGUCUUUCACUCAUUUUUCUCUCUCAAAUCCUCAUCUUGAUGACAGUAAUGUAGUUGCACCAUCUAUAACAAUUUUAGAACCAAGAAGUGAAACUUAACUCCAUGUUGCUGCCCCUGAGCCAAGUCUAGCCUUAAGCCAUCCUCCAACACCAACAAAUACCUCAUAUAUUUCUUCCAUACCUUCAACAUCUAAACACCUUAUGGUUACUAAAGCAAAAUCUGGAAUAUUCAAACCCAAAACUUAUCUAGCAGCAACUCAGGACAUAGAACCAACAAGUGUCAAAACAACCCUAUCUAGUCAGAAGUGGUAUAUGGCUAUGAAAGAAGAGAUAGAUGCUUUGCAUAGAAACCAUACAUGGACUCUGGUUCAUUCUUAUUCAGCCACCAAGAUUAUAGGUAACAAAUGGAUUUUCAGAAUUAAAUACAACUUAAAUGGAAGCAUUUCUAAGUAUAAGGCAUGCCUGGUUGCUAAAGGUUUUCACCCGACACAUGGAGUGGAUUUCUUUGAAACUUUUAGCCCUGCUGUAAAGCCUUGUACAUUAAGGAUUAUUCUCAGUUUAGCAGUGGUGCAACACUGGACUAUCAGGCAGCUGGACAUCAACAAUGCCUUCUUGAAUAGAGUACUUAUUGAAGAUGUAUAUAUGCACUAACCGAAGGGCUUAAUUGAUUCUAGAUUUCCUUCUCAUGUUUGCAAGUUAAACAAGGCUUUAUAUGGUCUCAAACAAGCUCCAAGGGCUUGGUAUGAUCAGCUGAAAGGUUCAUUAAUGCAAUGGGGUUUUCAAACUCAAAGUCUGAUACUUCUCUAUUUAUUAAACAUGCUGGUAUUGAAAUUUUGGUUAUUCUGAUUUAUGUGGAUGACAUACUUAUCACUGGAUCAAAUAUACAGCAUGUAGAGGGGGUAAUCAGUAAGCUUGGCUCUACUUAUGACCUCAAAGACUUGGGAGAAUUCAAUUAUUUUCUUGGCAUAGAAGUAAAUCCUAGCCUAGAUGGUUUACAUCUCUCUCAAACUAAAUAUAUUAGUGAUAUUCUUCAAAAGGCACACAUGUUAGACAACAAGGGCUAUAACACACCCAUGAGUACAACUGAAAAGUUAAAGAAAGAAAAUAGAGUCCUAUUCGAGAAUCCUUCCCUCUACAAAAGCAUAUUGGCUCUCUUCAGUAUGUGACUUUAAUGUUGCGUAAAUUAGCAAGUGUACUAGUCGGCACAAGUAAUAUAAUGAAGAGUAGAGUAUUGUCCCACAGAGAUUGUAUAUCCUAUUAGUUACCGAAAUUAUUCUAAUCCUAAUUUAUUUGAACAAUCGAAUAAGCGAAUUUAGAUUAAAAUUAAAUAAAAUAAAAUAAUUAAAAUUAAAUAAAGACGCAGGCAGUAAUAGAAAUCACCAAGAGAUUAAGACACUAAGACAUCCGAUUUCACCAUAACCAAUCCAAUUUAAUCCUCCAUCUAUGCUAUUAAAAUUUACUACCCAUGUUGACAGUGAAUUUCCCUAAUCCAUUCAAUAUCCUCUCUCGAGUAAUAUUAAAAAUACCUUCACACAUUAACCCACUAUAUCUCUAUGUGAAUUUAAAUAUGUAAAGAUUCAUUAAGCUCCAUGGAAAUUCUUAAAAAAACUGCGCAAAUCACGUUGGCACAUCUCUGUCUUUCGUUCAAUUCAUGGCAUCCAUUACACAGAGCAAAAAUACAUAAAUCUCCUCUCGGUCUCAUUAUGUAUCCUCAAAUCAUUCAAAUAUUGGCCAGAUAUUUAAAAGCAUUAAGCACAAUAAUGAACACUCAACCAUGAAAUAAUAAAUUAAAAAUAACAUAAAUUUAUGGAAUUAAAUCUUCAUAGUUAGGCUACAUCGUAGCCCUAGUAAAUAAAUUAGUUCAUGGGAAUAUAGAGAAUCUAUGAAUUUAAUGGGAAACAUUCAAGUAAGAUAAUAGAGAAGAGAGAAAGAAAAACUCAAGAAGCUAUCUCUCUCCAAUCUCUGCAAUUAACUUCUCCAAAUUGUUGCUCCCGGAUUUAUAGCGGCUUCUCUUGUUCUUUUCUUGCUCUCGGUUUUCUCUCCUAUUUUCAGUUGUUGUGCGGCUGCCUUCUUGUCUCCCUUUUGCUUCCGCUUGGCUUUUCCCUUUUUAUAAUGUUGUGGCUUGUAAAAUCCUCUUAUGAAAAGAAUUAAAAGCAAAAACCCAGCCGCCUGUUUCAUUCCUAAGCCAAUCAGAAUUGAAACCAAAGCCCAUCCACGUGACUUGCCAUAUUCUCUUUGUAAAUGAAUUCUUCAAUGCUUCCUCACGUGCAUGCAUGCUUAAUGAUUAAUUAAAUUAAAUCCUUUGUGAUUUGUUCCAAUUAAUUCUCUUUAUUUCUUUCCCUUUUUGAUUCCUUUAAGUGGACUUCCUCCUGAAUGUUCCGAUUUUAUUCUUCUUUAAUCCCAUAUUCUACCUAAAAUAAGAAAAUAUAAAAAUUAAGAUAAAAUUAACAUAAUAAAAUAUAAUUUAACAUAAAAUUAAGUUAUGGAAGUAUUAAAAUAAUAGAUAAAUAUGAGCACAUCAUUUAACAAGGCCUGAUAUUGCCUUUUCAGUGAACAAGUUGAGCCAAUUUCUUGCUGCACCUACUGUCCUUCAUUGGCAAGCUUGUAAGAGGGUUCUGAGGUAUCUACAGAGCAUAGCAAACUUUGGACUUCAAUUUCUUAAUUCAGGUUCUCUCAUUCUAAAUGCUUAUUCUGAUGUUGAUUGGGGAUCAGACCCUAAUGAUAGAAAAUCCAAUUGGUGGUUAUUGUGUAUUUCUUGGCAACAAUCUAGUCUUAUGGUCCUCAAAGAAGCAACCUAUUGUCUCUAGAUCAAUAGUAAAGUCUAAGUACAGGGCACUUGCACUUGCUAUUUCUGAGAUGCUUUGGAUCACUUAUCUGUUAAAAGAACUCAAGGUUUCCUUGCUCAAGCUUCUUGUUCUAUAUUGUGACAAUAAGAGUGCUGAAGCAUUAGCUAGUAAUCUAAAGUACCAUUCACGCACCAAACAUAUAGAACUUGAUCUUCAUUUUGUUCGAGACCAUAUAGCCAAGCAUGAACUUUCUAUUGAUCAUGUUCCCAGCUUUGAUCAAAUAGCAGAUAUUCUUACCAAGCCUUUAGCCUAUGAUCAGUUUGCUUAUUUGCGUAACAAGCUUAAUGUUCUUCCGAGACCUUAAACUUGAGGGGGGAUGUUAAGUAUAGAAUUAGUUAGUUAAUGAGUAUGCUGACAUGGCAGCUGAGUCAGCUAAAGUUUGUUAUAAUUUGUUAUAGAGGUUAUUAGCAGUGAACUGUGUGUGCAUGUGAUGUGUGUAGAAUCUUCCAAACACAUAUAAAAAGCCUUGUAAUUUCCAGAUUCAUCAAGAUCAAUAGAACAAAAAUUUUAGCUUACAAAAGAUUUCUCUUCUUCUUAUUUUCUCGUUAACCAAACAAUAUCACAGAUUCGUAUAAAACUUAAUAGUUCUUACUCCAAUUCUUGGUGCAACUAUCAAAUCUUAAGUGAUGGAUAAAAUCUUUAAAAAAAGUUGAGAAAUUACAAUGAUUAUGAGAGAUUUUUUUUUCUAAGAAAUGAUUUUACAAAUUUUAUACGAUGGGUGUAUUAAAAAAAAUUAAAAUAAGGGUAAAAUAGAGAUUAGGUAAGGUAUAUUGAGAGAUAAAAAUUUGUUUAAAAUUUUUAAAGUAAUUAACUGAAAAAUGGGGGUUUGUGUGAUACAAUAAGCGAUAAAAAAUCACCACUCUUAAGAUAGUGAUGGAAGUACACCAUGUUUGAUACACGCCAUUAAAACUUUUAUAUUUUAUAGUAUUAUUUAGUAAAUAUACCAAUCUAGAUAAAGCUUCUCUUCUAGUAUUGAAUAUUAAUACAUGUUGAGUGAUGUAAGCCUCUCUCAACCAAAAAGUUCAGUUAAGAGUUGAAGCUAUCAUGAUAUUUUUCAUAAUAAUGAUUAUAUAUAAAGCCAUUUUAGGGGUGGGCGAAUGUUGGGAUUAACCCAAUCAAUUCCAAAUGUACUUGCGUUGAAAAAGUUUCAAUCUAAUUUAAUCAUGAUUACUGUUGUUCACACCCCUUUAAUAUUCUUAGAAAUUACCUAAAGAAAAAAUAAGAAUUUAAUCAAACUAAAAUGUCUUUAUAAAUCAUAAACCCUAACUAUUUUUUAAACCUUAUUUGUUUGAUAAAGUCAAAAUUAAUUUUGAUAUAAUGACGAAAUAAAUUACCUAAUAAUAAUAAUAAUUUUUUUAAUAAUCCACCAAGAUAGUGGGGGGUUAGGCCAGACCCCUACCUGUAAAUAAAUCAAUCAAUGAAAGAACAUAAGGAAAGGGACAUAAACCAAAAUCUCCCAGGAAAGCAAAUAAUUUAGUGAUCAAAUAAAACCAAUUCAAAUCAAGGUGAUUAAUGCCGAAUGUAUGGAAUUCUGAGAGUAUCCAAAUGAAAAAUGCCUAAUAAAUUGUUUGGAAGAUCACCAGGAUUGAAAAAUCGUUGACAAGUCUGAUGAGUACAAGCCCAAUUGGCCAUAAAGUCAGCAGCAAAUGUAGCUUCUCGAAAAAUAUGCCUAAUAAUAAUAGAUAGGCUAGAAGCCAAUGCCCGAACACGCCCAAGGAGGUAAAUAAAAUCCCAUCGCACAAAACCACUUGAAAUAGCCCAAGAAACUACAGUCGCUAAAUCAGAUUCUACCUCAAGAUCAGAAAAACCAAGCUGAGCAGCAAGAUCUGAACCCUCUAACAGAGCCAUCAAUUCAGCAAAAGGAAUAGAUUGGUGCACCAAAAAAGAACCAAAAGCAGCUAAUGUCACGUCUUGAUGAUCUCGUAAAACACCACCAGUAGUAGCAAUACCUGGGUUUCCCCUAGAACAACCAUCCACACUUAACUUCACCACCUCCGGUGAUGAUUUCAUCCAAGAAACCAAUCGCGGUGGUCUACGGGGAGGCAUGAUCAUCCUCAAUCCCUUUCCCAAUCUGAAUGUCCAAAAUGCCCCUCAACUAAGAUGUCUUGAAACCAAACGCAUCACUGACUAGCCUAAUAUCCACGAGCACUCUAAAAAUAACAACGUUCACAUUAAAGGCAACUGAAUCAUACCUGAGAGUGUUUCGAGCCUUCCAAACAUGCCAUAGAAUGAAACAUGGGAGAAUGACUCAAUAUGUUUUGAAGAACGGCAACACUAUCAUCAGUGACUGAGCAGAGCAUGAAGAGACAAAAAAGGAAGAUACGGACAACCAAUCAUUGAGUAAAACCACCGCCAAACCUGUUGAACCACUGGACAAUCCAAAAAUAAGUGUCUGACAAUCUCAACAUCUCAAUUACAAAGACAUCGAAAAACCAUGUGAAAACCCCUCAAGUACAAAGCAUCAUCCGUGGCCAAGAAACCAUUCAAUAAACACCACAAGAAAAAGGAAACCCGCGAAGGAAUAUGUCGUUGCCAAAUUAAAGAAAAAACCUCAUUCUGGCUACGGGAUCCACGUACAAAUUCCCAAUUAUUCCUUAGAGAAAAAUUCCCAUCCCUAAAUAUUGCCAAACAAAGUAUAUCUGGCCCAGUACCAGAAAUAGGUACUAACAAAAUUUGUUCAACAACUAAAGAUGGCAGUACUGAUAAAAGCUUCCCCUUCUCCCAAUCCACACCACACCAAAAAGAAGAUAUUGGGGCCAUAGAAGCUACUGAAGGAUUAAAAUGAAAGAGAGGCGUAGAUUCAAGCUAGCAAUCAUACCAGAAACUACUAUCACCCAAUCUAACCAGUCAACGAAUAUGAGGUUCAACAAUACAACGAAUAGAUCAUAAUCUUCUCCACAGAAGAGAUGCAAGAUAGCGAAAUUGAACCAUACUUGGAUGCUCAAUUCUACAAUAUUUAGAUUUCAUGAAAGAAGCCCAAAGUGAGUGUUGGUCCCGUAAUCGCCACCAUCGCUUCAUCUCGAAAGCAUCGGCCAAAUUAGAAAAGGAACGAACUCCAAGACCACCCUCCGCCACUGGAAAACAGACAGAUGGCCAUUUGCACCAAUGAAUGCGCUACCGAGAAUCCGUAUCACUCCAUAAGAAUCUUGUAAAUAACCUCUCAAGGAUCUGAAUGACCGUAGCAGGCGGCCGUAGGACAUGAAAAAGAUGAAGCGACAUAGAUGAAAGCACAUGCCGAAUGAGUACUAGCUUACCUCCAAAAGAGAACAACCGAUACUGAAGUUUAAUUAAAACUCUAUUGUAAUCCUGUAGACUUUUUUGUAAUUUCAUAAAAAAUAGAUAUAAAAAUGAAUAAGUAGUGUUUCUUAAGAGUUUUAAUGGGAUGUUAGAAGCUCCACUCUAAAACCAUGGAGUAACUUAAACCAAAAAAUUCCAAUAAAAAUCUAUUCAGGUUGGGUUAGAAUUAGUUUUCAACAUUUAAGUUUAUUUUGUGGCAUUUAUUUUUUCAUCUCAAAUCUAAAUAAAUAUGAACUAAGUUGGACUAUUGGCACUCCUCUAAGUACCUAGUUCACAACAACUUUAAAGCUGAAACUGAUUUUUUUUUCUCUAUUUUGCUCGAUCAUAUAUCCACUCAAGUUUCAAGGGAAUUUGACGGGGAAUGAUCUUCUAGCAAGGUCCCUAUUUUGAUUUUUGACAGGGUUGUUACGGACUUUUGAGAUUUUUCUGUAGUUGUAUUUUGAGGUUCAAUAAUUUUCAUGUAAACUUUAAGAUAACACAAGUAAAUGUGUACAGGAGAAAAAUUAUCGGUGAAAGAAUUGUUUAAGCUGGGUUUAACGAGAUUUAAUUUUGUCCUAUAGUGUAAUUUUAAAGAAGGAUACAAUUCUAAAACGGGUUUUACGAUUUAUUUUUGUGAUUGAGUUUUUGUAACCAGAGGCGAAGCUCAGGGAAGGCUAACCCGGGCUGCAGCCCGGGUAAGCUUUUUGAAAAAAAAAAUUAUAAUUUAUAAAUUUAUUUUUAUUAAUAUUUAUAAAAAAAAACAAACCUAAUAAUUAUAGGAAUCCUUAUUUUCCCCAAAUCACAAUUCAUAAAACUCACUAGUAACUAAAUACGAAUUUGAAAUUCACCAAAAUUCAAUUGCUCAAGUCUCUUACUGCUGCUGAAUACCCAGUCUCCUGCGCUCGAAUUGAUGCCCAGCCACUGCCUCAUGAGUGAUGCCGAGCCACUGUCGCAAGACCCGCACCCGGAGGCUAAAUCUCUCACCGCCGAGCCAACGCCGAAUGCCCAGUCUCUUGAUGCAACCGCUGGUACAAAGCACUUUGCCUUUUAAACUUUAGUUUACAGAAUAUAAUAUGAUUUUAUGAUAAUGAUGGUUGGCACACAAAGUGGAAUUGUGGAAGAGAAGUUGUCGAUUUUGUGAACUGAGAACUGUGAUUCAUCUUUCUAAAAUUAUAAACUAAUAGAAUAUGACAAAUAGUGAUGAUAGCAUAUAAAGUAGAACUUGUAAAAGGUGUUGAUUCAUCUUCUUGGGAUUAUAAAAUAAUGAUGGCAUGAAAGAAUGAGUGAUCAAAAUAGUAAAAUAAUUAAUUUGAAUGCUGACUUUUUUUAUUAGCUUUUAACUUACGGUUUUGUCAAAUUUUUAUAAAAUAAAUACUAAAUUUUUAAUGUAUUUUAUUACAGAUUCAAUGAUAAAUAAACCAAGAAAAACUCUAUUUUCUUUUUUUAAGAGAGUAGGUGAAAAUCAAUCAUCCACCAAGUCUUUAUCUCCAUGUCAAGUUAAUGCUCAAGAUUCCAGUGAGCAACAUGCUUCCAAGUUUCAAAGGGUUGAAGUUGAAGAAACUAGAAAUACUUAUCUGGAGCGUGAUCCUGGAUUACGUCAUCAAAUAGGGACAUAUUCAGUAAAUCAACGUGAUGAUAUUUGAAGGGAGUACAUCAAAAUGGGACCUUAUCAGCCUAAACUACGAGACUAUCCACUAACUAAUGAUGGCAUGCAAGAACGUAGGUUUCAGUAUCACUGGUUUAAAAAGUUUCCAUGGCUUGAGUACUCUGAGGUAAAAGAUAGUGCAUUUUGUUUUCCAUGCUUUCUUUUUUAUGAAAUUCCAUCAAACAACCCAAAAUUUGUUAUUGAAGGGUUUUCUAGUUGGAAGAGAGUCGACAAUGGAAAAAAAUGUCCUUUUUUACAGCAUGAAGGGGGUCCAUCUUCUCAUCAUAAUAAGAAUAUGCAGAGUUGGGGUUGUUUGAGGAACCCAAUUCAACACAUUGAUAGAUUAAUUAAUGCCCAAACUUCACAACAACUUUUGGAGAAUAGGUUACGAUUGAAGACUUCAAUUAUUGCUGUUAAAUGGUUAGCAAAGCAAGCAUGUGCUUUUAGAGGUCAUGAUGAAUCAGUUAAUUCAAGAAAUCGGGGAAAUUUCAUAGAGUUGAUAAAGCAUUCAGCGGAGUAUAGUAAAGAAAUUGCUCAAGUUGUCUUGGAAAAUGCUCCAUCAUAUGCUAAGUAUACAUCGUCUGACAUUCAAAAAGAGCUUUUAAAUAUUCUUGCAAACAAAGUGCGAAACAAGAUACACAGGGAACUUGGAGAUGGUAAGUUUUGUAUUUUAGUAGAUGAAGCACUUGAUGAAUCUGAUAAAGAGCAAAUGGCUAUUAUUUUAAGGUAUGUUGAUUGUGAUGGGUAUAUUCGAGAACGUUUUUUUGAAGUUGUCAAUGUCAUGGAAACUACAGCAGUAACAUUGAAAAAAGAAAUAUGUAAUGUUCUUGCACGAUAUGAUCUUUUAGUUGAAAAUAUCCGAGGGCAAGGGUAUGAUGGUGCUAGUAACAUGCGAGGUGCAUGGAAUGGAUUGCAAGCAUUAUUUUUGAAAGAUUGCCCAUAUGCAUAUUAUAUACACUGUUUUGCACAUCAACUACAACUUGCUUUAGUUGCAGCAUCUAAUGAUGUGCCAGAUGUAUGGCUUUUCUUUUCAACAUUGGGUUCAAUUGUAAAUGUUCUGACUUCAUCUGCUAAACGGCUUUCUGAGUUAAAAUCUGUUUGGGAAGUAGAAAUAAUAGAUUUGAUAGCUUCAGGAGAAGUUCAAACUGGUACAGGGGCCAAUCAAAUUCAUACUUUGCAACGGCCUGGAGCUACUCGGUGGAGCUCUCAUUUCCGUUCUGUCAGUAGGUUGCUUGAUUUGUUUAGUGUUGUUCGUAAAGUUCUUGGGAAGUUGGUAGAGUGUGGGCCUAACAAUAGCAUACGUGGAGAGGCUAAAGGUGCGUGUGAAUCAAUGAUAUCUUUUAAAUUUGUGUUCAUUUUGCAUUUAUUAAAUAAAGUUUUGGGGAUGAGUGAUUUACUUUGUCAAGCAUUACAAGUUAAAUCUCAAGAUAUUCUAAAUGCUGUGCACUUAGUCUCAACUACGAAAAAACUUCUUCAAAGGCUGCGAGACAAUGGUUGGGAAACUUUUAUUGAGAAUGUAGUUCUAUUUUGUGAAAAGAAUGAGAUAGAUAUGCCUGAUAUGAAAGCUCGCCAUAUGAAAGGGAGAGGACGUUCUUGUCAGCAGAAUGAUUAUAUUACAGUUGAGCAUUAUUAUCAUUAUGAUAUAUUUAAUACUGUGAUAGAUUUUCAAUUGAUGGAGUUGAAUAAUAGAUUCACUGAACAGACUUUGGAACUCCUCACUCUUAGUUCAGCUUUAAAUCCUAUUGAUGCAUUUAAAUCAUUUAAAAUUGAAGAUAUUUGCAGCCUUGCUGAAAGAUUUUAUCCUGAAGAUUUCACUAAGAUUGAGUUACAGGCUUUGAGAAGACAAUUAGAGUGCUUUGAGAUAGAUAUACACUCUCUUCAAGAGUUUCAGAAUAUUACUUCCCUUUCUGAAUUGUGUCGAAGAUUGGUUGAGACUAGAAAGUCACAGAUUUAUUUCUUGUUGGAUAGAUUAAUUCGUUUAAUGUUAACCCUUCCUGUUUCAACAGCAACAACAGAGAGAGCAUUUUCUGCCAUGAAACUGAUUAAGACAAACACAUCGAAACAAGAUGGAGAAUGAGUUUCUUUCAGAUUGUAUGGUUAUUUACAUUGAAAGAGAAAUUGCAGACAAUAUUGACUCAGAUGCGAUAGUAGAUGAAUUUUCUUUUUUGAAGAAUCGCAGGACACAGCUUCGUCAAUAGUGUUUUUCUUAUUUACAUUGUAUUUUUAUAGUUUUAUGGUUAAAUUUUUACUUAUGUAGUGUGCUUAAUUUCAUUUAUAUAAAACAAAUUUUUUGAGAAGUAAAUUUCAUUUUUUUGUUUAAAUCUAGCCCACCCAAACAAAUGAUGCAAGCUUCGCCACUGUUUGUAACCCACCCAAACCUAUAAAUAAUUUGGUAACACAGCUGCUCCAAACAGGUUGUUAAAUCUGCGCGUUUGCUUGGGCUUGGUACAUGGACUUUUGGUCCACCCAUAAUCUCCUUAUUUAAAAUAUUAUUUAUUAAAGGAUUGUAUUUUAGACAGUUUGCGGAUAUCUUGCAUUUUUUAUAAAAAAAUUUGAACGUUUAAUUUAAUCGUUUUGAAUCAAUCUCUCUUUUAAAUCUACCCUUUUUUAAUCAACCGAGGCUGAAAUUAUAUAUUAUCUUUCAAUCAUUCAAAUUAAGGAUGAAAGUUUAACUUCCAAAAAUAUCAAUGAAGUUAGAUGGAUGUCCUUACACAGAUGCGAGGGCUAUUGCAAGGGAAACAUCACCACCCAUAAGAUAGCAAACCAUAUCAUAUGGCAAGGCUACCUAGCAAGCAAGUUGAUUAAUAAACUACGAAAGUCAAGUCUAAUUCCAACAGUAACAAGCAAUUUCUCUGGGGCUUAAGUUUUGAGUUCAGAUUUCAAUAGAUGCAUAAGUUAAUAAUUUUAAAAAAUAAAAAUCCUACUGAAGCACUAGUAAACUAGCAAAAUCAAUUACCAAAACAUAAUCGAAGUAGUUCCAAUUACUGAACCACUAGCAACACAAUAAAACACAAUCACAACUUGUUCUUUGAUUACAUAAACUUCCCACAAGCAAAUUAAACAAGUAAAAACUCACAUGGACAGACGAGACACCGGUGGCUAAUUAUGCAAAGCAAUUAAGCAAGCAAGAAACAUUACAAUAACAUAUAUGUCCCUUUAAUUUCUAAGUUUAAAAACUGGCAAGCUGCUGGAUGUUCAUGGGAUAAACAACGCUCUGGUCACCAUAGAAAGCUUUUCUUCCAAACAUAAUGUUCACAGCUUCUGUUGGGUGAAAUGCAUCCCAGAAAACGUAUUCUUCUCGAUUUGCACAUGGUGUUUGGAAUGGAAGACAUGUAAUUUGGCCUCCGUUUCUUCCAAUGCCACAGCACCCUCGAUCUAUUACACUGAAUCCUGUAGAAUUAUUUGGGAUAAAAAAAAAAGUGAUCAUAAACAUUAUUCUAUUAAGUAAAAUUUUGCUUAUUUUAUGCACUUAUUUAAAUUUAAUUUUGAAAUGUCUUGCUUUUAUUGUAGCAUAGCAAGGCUACAAGACGAUAAUUUCUCCGUUAUUUCCACCUCUAGGCCGUGCUUGUCAAAUCAAAAUCCUAGUUCAGCCACUGUAAAUUGUUCCUUGAUUUUAAAAUAUGAGGACGAAAUCUUUAUUAUCUUUUGUCAGUGUCCGCACAUUUUAAAAUAAAAGAUUUUAGGCCAGACAGCGCACAUCAUAUCUAACUACAAUACGAUAUGUUUAGUGGGAAAAUUGCAUACCGUAUGAUCUAUAAUUGGUGAGGAGAUCUUCAAACAUGUGGGCAAUGUCAAUGAAGGUGAAUCUUGCACCAGGAAGAUUGGCAUUAAGAUUGUUAAUCAUAGUCUUCACAUUUGCAUUAAAAGGCAUAACAAGUUGAUUCACUUCUUCUGAACAGCGAUCCAUUUGAUUUUGAGCCAAAAUGCUUGGAAUACAUCCCAUUCUUCC
rnacentral:lncRNA from 1 species